AAAUCUUUCAUUUCAUAUUUAAAUAUUAUUAAUAUGUCACAAUUAUACCAAAUACAAAUUAAAACAAGUACUAAAAGAAACAUACAAAUUUAGAGUAUCUCAAAUAUAGUUUGAAAUGCCCACAAGUAGAUAUUCAGAUUGAAAAAAAAAAAUACAAGUAUUUAGUUUGCAACAAAAUUCUCCUUAUUGCCUCUACACUUUGAACUUCAUUGUUUUCCCACCUAUAAGUUUAACAUAUAGAAUUAAUUAGUUUGCUACACAAAUUAAGUGUCGGACAUUUACAAGCAAAAAUAUACUCAUACAUUACAUGAUUAUUGAAUGCUACAAAUAACUUGACAACAUAUGUGGCCUACACAUACGAAAAAUCAUCAAUAGUGUAUUCAUAACAUUCAACAUCAACUCCAAUUACUAACAAGUAUAUAUUACUAACCUCAAAACUAAACAACAAUCUGUAACCAAAGACUUGACAUUUUUUAGAAAUUAUAAAAAGCAAUAACAUAGUAAUAAACAGUACCACUUGACAGUAGUUACCAAAGAUCCUAAAAAAGCUUAGAAUUUAUAUUAAUCCUUUUUAUCUUAAGUAUUCUUAGGCUAUCACUAAUGAAUUAAAUAAGUAUCCCUAAGCCGAAAAAUGAAAAAGGUAUAGUACCAAACUCUUGCAAUACUUUCCAAUUUCCUAUCAAAUCUUCAAGACACAAUGAUAACAAUCACGAGUCAAAAUGCAGCAUCAACCUCCUAGAAACUUCACUUCAGCAAAUAGAAAACUAAACAUAUUCAGUUAUAGAGGUAAAGCAAUACAAAAAGGCUUAAGGUCAUUGAGAUAAAGAAACCAAAAGGAAAGAUUGAAGAAAGAUCACUAGAUCAAUUAUAUAUAGAGAUCCUCAAUCAUUCACUUAGACACGAUGCACUGUCGAUUAUUUAAAAAGGAUGGAGCUUAUUUUUGCUAAGGUGAUGAUUCUUUAUGUUUGUCUCUCAAAAUAGCUAUAAGAGUAUUAAUAUAUUCUCAUUUUAUGGUAGAGAGGUGAAGUCCAUUAAUAGAAAUUCCAAAUCCAAAAUACAUAUACAGAAUAUAAGACAAUAAAACAUAUAUGCUAUAUUUAAAUAAACCAUCAAGCAAUGAUUAAAUAAAGCAUUACCUGAAUGAGUUCAGCUCCUCCCCAUGGGAGAUAAGACAAAAUGCAAGUUUUAUAAAAGUCAGCACAUGCUAGCUAGGAAGGAUUUAUUUUGACUUCAUCUGUAGUUUGCUGAAGAAUUUUGCUGCCCAUUUAUAGAAUAGAAAUUUUUAAAUCCUGUUUGAAAUUUAACCCAAAAACAAAGUAUAGAGACUAAAUACGUAAACUUCAUAAAUGCGCAUGAAUACUCCUAAGCUUCAUGGAUAAACUUGAAUGACAUAUUUUUUAAUGCAUUAAAGUACCUGUUAAACCAAGCAUGUAAUUUGACCAACGUGGUAACACCCUGCUAUUAUGAUACAAGAGGCUUGCUAAUAUAUGACCUAAAGGACAUGCUACAAUAGGUUUUCACUGGAAUUCAACAUUAUGCUUGCGGUGGCCCUGGGAGGGUUACUANNNNNNNNNNNNNNNNNNNNNNNNNNNNNNNNNNNNNNNNNNNNNNNNNNNNNNNNNNNNNNNNNNNNNNNNNNNNNNNNNNNNNNNNNNNNNNNNNNNNUAUUAUUAUUAUUAUUAUUAUUAUUAUUAUUAUUAUUAUUAUUAUUAUUAUUAUUAUUAUUAUUAUUAUUAUUAUUAUUAUUAUUAUUAUUAUUAUUAUUAUUAUUAUUAUUAUUAUUAUUAUUAUUAUUAUUAUUAUUAUUAUUAUUAUUAUUAUUAUUAUUAUUAUUAUUAUUAUUAUUAUUAUUAUUAUUAUUAUUAUUAUUAUUAUUAUUAUUAUUAUUAUUAUUAUUAUUAUUAUUAUUAUUAUUAUUAUUAUUGUAAUAUAAAAUAAGUUAUGAUGACAUAAGCAAUGACAUAAGCGAUGAUGUAAGGGAAGUGUGUAGAGAAAGUUAAGAAUUCUAGAAUUUAGUAAGGUAUUUAUGAAGGUUAAUCUCAACCAUUGAUCAAGAGUUAUGGUGGCAAAAUCCUAGCCAUCCAUUAGCCUUAAGAAAUCCUAUAAAUACCCCCUAACCCCUUUCAUUUUCAAUCUAACCUAGAAAUUUCAUUCUCUUUUAUUCUAAGUCAUAAUAUCAAGUGUAGAGAAAUCUUUAAUUUAGAAAGGUCUAAAGAAGUCAAGUAUUUAAGAGAAAUCUUAUUCUUAAAUAGUGUUGUGCAUUGAUUCUGUUAUGCAUCUAGGAACUUCAAAUGUUAUGACAUAAGUUGUAUUGAAUACAUGCAUAUCAUGGAUUAUAUUAUGAAGAAGACAUUUCAGAAAAAAGAAUUUAUGAAAAAUAGGUUGUUGUACUACUUAGUGGCAAAGUUUCCAAGGAGGGCAAGCCCUCAAAACUAAGUGAAAAUAAAUCUUUUGGGGACGGCGAUACGUAACGCCCAAAAGAUCAACUAAUGAGGCCGAAGGGCAUAUUGUUUAAAGAGUAAAAGUGCCAACCUUGUAGUGCAACAUACCUAGGGCCCUAAUGAAGUUUUGUAGUUUUUAAGUUUCUUUUAAAAGCUUAAGAUGGUCGUCCAUAUGCAUCAUAAUUUAUACAUGCAUAAAAGUGUUAUCUUACUGAGCAUUAGCUCAUAAAGUCCUUACAUUGGAGGUAACGAUGAGUAGGGCAAGUUUGUGCUAAGUCUUAACCAAGACGAAGUGCAUAUGGGCAUAACAGACCUUGGGAUUUUAUGAUGGGCUCAGCUUUGUUUAAAUAAAAAUAUAAACAUCUUAACUUUAUGUAGUAAUCAAGUUUUGAAAUUAACUAUAGAAUCUCUGUAUGACUUUUACUUUAUGAAGAAAAUUUUUUUUUGUGUUAAACUUUUAGAAAUCGUAUUAAAAGUAACUAUGUUUUAAACAUUUUUUAAAAAUAUAUAUAAGUGGAGUGUUACAUGCAUAAGGACCAAGAAAUUUAACUCCUUAUCAGAAUUAAGAGGAUCUUCGUUAAUGGGCUUCUUCUUCUUAAUGGCUGACAACUUGGUUCUACAACAAAGGGGAAGGUCUUUUGAGACACUCCCCGAGGUAAAUAAGGAAGUUCUCUUAAAAAUGACUUCUCUAAACAAAGUUUAGGCAUCACUUCCAGAACAACCCCGGGAGGAUCCCCUAGUCAAGCCAACAUCUCUUUGGGUGGAGCUAGAAGCCCCCUUUUUGGAUACUUUGGAAAAAAUUUCCCCAGCGCUUAACAUAUCUUCCUCAUAGAGGCUAUCUAGUAAAGAUCACAAAAAGAAAAAGAGUUAGAACAUCGUCAAAAUGGCAUGAAAAACUAGCAAGGAGAGCAAAGAGCUAUGGCUAAAGACAGAAUGAAUAGCUUUGAUACAACUGGGGAGGACCUCUAGCAACAAAAGACAGACUCUAGACUAGAUAGAAGACAAUAUUUACAUUCUAAGAAUGACCUCUAAGAUGACCUGAGACAGUCCAUACAUCGUUAGCAACCAUCAUGUAGGUGGAAUACACAAACAACAUGAGAAUGGGAGGUUCUAACACCUUCCGUUUUAGGGUCCCUUUUGAUAUCGGUGGUCCAUAGGCACACUUUUCAUAUCUUCUCGUCAGCUAUAAGGUUCCCUACAAACCCAUGUCAACUCUCCCAUUUAGCUUCUACAAGUUUGGUGAUAGCUUUUGACUCUACAAAACUAAUGAUUUAUAUGAAAGUAAAGAGACAAAGCCACCGGAACAAAUAAUUAGGUUCACAAGAAGAAAGCAAAGAGGAAAAGAGCCAUAUGGGAUUGGGUAAAUACACUAGAAACCCCUCGACCCGAGGAUGAGAGCUACCCCUAAUCACUGGUUGCAAUGAACCAGUGGUUAUCCCAAAAGUGAUGAGAUGUGGUAGCCUUAAAAAUACUGACAUUCACAUUCCAAGACAUCAAAUAAGUCACGCGGCCAUCAUAGUCUCCCCUCUUUGAGAACAUUCUUGACAAUAAUAGCAUCAGGGGCUCCCAAUGAAAGUUCUUCCUCUAUAGUACAUAUAAAGAUAUCAACUCAAUGAAUGAAUGCUUGGACAAUUAUGCUGGAGCUACAUUGAAAGCAUAGCAUACUCUACUAAAAUACUCUUAGAGUAGUAAAGGGAGCCCUAAGAGAAUUGGUUCGACUCUAAUGGCAACUCAUUCAUCCUUUGGGUUAGCUCUAUCAUCACUAUCAUAAGACCAUCUUAUCUCCACACCUGGCACCAAGUUGCGAAAAUCUAUGAUUUUCUCUAAAUCAGCCUUGGUCAAACCCUCUCGAAGGCCAGUCAUACAUCUAACACGCCUAGGUAAUUUAAAAGCUUAGAAUCUCUCCAUCUUUCUAUUCAAACGUCCCUGAGGACCCUCUAUCCACGGAGGAUCGUUUUCUUGCCCAUGCCACUAGGGACGAUUCUAAGUAAAACUGGAUAAACCACUAAGAACCCUAUAAAACUUACAGCAGUAUCAUCAAAAGGGUUAUCGUUGAAAGUAGAAAAAUCCGAGGAAGAAUCACUCGUAUCUCCGCCCUUAAAAAAACCAAAGAGCCUCAUACUAGAACUAUCGAGCUCCUCAUCAACUAACGACAACUUUCUUUUCACUAUCUAGACAACAAUCACCGGUAACAACAACCCGUUACCUAUAAAAAAAAAAAAAAAAACCCUAAGAAUACAUAGGUAGCACCAUUAGAACACUAAAUCCACCAAUUACAUCAAUUAAACAAACCUUCACAACCAACAACCCAUAUAGCCAACCUAAUACAGCAUAAACCCCACCAACCAACACUGAAAUUGUACCACGUACCACCCAAACAACACAAGACACCAACAACAAUAAAAUAGCCCAAAACUACCAACUAAAAACCAUAAUAAAACUAAAAUUGAGCAUAAAAGGGAGAAAAAUUAUCUAAAAAUUAAACAAGUGAAACUGCUAUCGCCAAUUUAAGCCGUAUUAACCUAGAAUCUCGCCACUAGAACCACUGCUAAAGAAAGCCAAAGAAGAGGUGCAAAUAAAGCCAAAACCAAAGAAGAAUGAAAUUGCAAUAAGGGAAAAAGAGAAAGAGAUCGUGAAGGGAAUAAGAGAGAGAUCGUGAGGAGGAGGAAUAGAAAAAGAAACCAAAUUAGAGAAGAUGGUGGAGAAAAAAAAUUGAAUUAGGAGAAGAGAAGAAAGAGAGAGAAGUCGAGACAAGAGCAAAUAAAGGAAAGAGGAAAAUUAAAGCAAGACGAAGAGUGAAAAGGGUCGAGAGAGAUAGGGAAACUGAGAACCAAAGGGGGAGAGAGAGAAAAGCAGCGAAAUGAAGAAGACGAAGUCGAAGAGAAAAAGAAAGGGGAAAUUGGUUUUUUAAAAUUGAGGUUAGGGCACGUGAAAGAAAAAAAAAAAGAGAAAAGAAAUUAAAUUCUAGUAAAACAUGCCCAAAGAGUGCAUGGCUAAAGCACCCCUAUGUUUCCCACUUGCAAUGAGUGGAAGAAAAAAAAUUCAAAUGAACCCCCGCGAGGAAAAUUUGAGAUAAGCCUAAAAAAAAUUAUUAUUUCGUGGCUAAUAAGGGGAUGGGGGUCUUGCCAAAUGUAUCGAGGACAGACCUAAUCAAAUUGUCCCCAUUUAAAAGACCCCCACGUGCCAUGCCAUCUUGAAUGAAAAUCUUAGUCUCUUUCACCUCAAUCUAUGCUAAAAGAGACUAGAGGAUCUUACUGGUGGUAAAAUAUAGGCAAAAGGUAUUAAGGGCAUGACACAUAGGCAAUAUGAUUUGGCACUGUGAUAAGGAAUGAAGUGGAAGUUGAGAAAGAGGAUAAAAAGAGAAGAUAUUAAAGAAUCAGGCUCAAUUACCUAAAUUACCCAAGAGUAACAAAAAAUUACCCCCUACAAAAUAUCCAAAUUGCCACAUGUUUGUACGAGACCGUGGAAUAAUAACAACCAUGCCAAUGCAACCAGGCCACAUUGUUUCCCACCUGAAUUGUCUCCAAAAUAUUUCCUUAUGUGCUGCCAAAUUUAAGAUUUAGAAAGGGAGACCAUGGGCAAAGCCACAUGUACCAUCCCUAGUGAAGUCAAGUGCUCUUCAACCCAAUUCAUUAAUUUAAAAUAGGCCAAUUAGAGUUAAGAGCGCACUAUCAGCACAGACUGUCCUUAAAUGGACAGUUGUCCAGCCCAAGCAAGUUCAGAGGCCUCCACAAAAGGAGCCAAAUUACUCUUAAAACCUACUUGAUGAGGGGAAUCACCCAUAACGGCUUGCUAUGUUUCCAAAAUGACAAAAAGAUGCCCUUAGAGGUAUUCUACCUUAAAAGGUCAGGUUGGUUUCACUAAGAAAAUAAAUUCAUUCUUUCACUAGAAACACUCAACUCUUUCCCUAUUCUAGAGUUUCUUGCAAACUCAUUACCUUUCUCUAACUUCCUAUUGACUUAACCAUUGAGUGUCGUCACCGGCCACUACCAACGCUGCUUCUAACAGCUAUUCCUUGUGAUUUUAGGUUUGUCUCAACCACCAUCGUCCCCAAAAAAUCGUCUCUAAACAGUAUAGUGCCUAUUUUCACUAGAAAUCACCUUCUGCAGAAAAGCUCUCAUAAUGUUUUGGGUUGAACUAGAAUAAAGCCAAAACAUGUAUGCAAAUGGGUGUUAAAAACAAUAUAUAAUCUGUGAUCAAUUAUAAAAUGAUCUUUAAUACUAUAUAAAAGAACGAGUAUCUUAAUAUGCGACAUUAAAUUUUUCAAGGAGAUCAAUAAUUUUUUUUGUUACAAACAAUCUCAUCCAUUAACUAAUUGAUGCAAUUUACGAUAUAAACUUAAAUAUAAGAACUUAGUUGUGUCAUUCAUUAGUCUUACACCAUAAAUAAAUUUUAUGAUUGCAACUUAUUUAUUUAUUUUGUGUUAGAUAAUCUACUACGUAUUAUAUCUUAUACUUAACAGUAAUAGAUAUUAAAACAUUUAUGUUAAAAAAAUCACAUUACAAAUUAAAGGAAGGUUGAAAAGUGAUUUUUAAAUAAAAUAUGUUGUUCAAGUGAAAUUGUUUCAAACUCUAAGGAUGAUCAUAGUUAUUUUACAAAAAUUCUCUAGCUCUAAAAUGGUCAACAAACUAAUUACAGUAAUUUUUAAAUUAUUUAUCUUUUUCUUUAAUAUAAAUAUUGUGUACUAUUAAUUAAAUUUAAUGACACACAAUUGAAACAUUAUUGAUGCCACAAAAAAAUUAUGACAUCAUUGAGGGACCCCUCUUUCAAUACAUCAACAUGUCAAUUUUUUCUUUUUUUUUUGGUGACUCCUUGUUUAUCCAAUAUUCUUUUGAAAUAAUGUUUGAUUCUUUUCUUUUCCUCAUGGAUUUAUUAUUCUCAUUCUUAAAGACUAAUUUUAAUGUAAAGUUUAGAUAUGUUUAUUUAAAAUUAGAAUUAUCAACCGGAUUACUUAUUUUGUGUAGAGGGUAGAGAAUUAAGAUUCCAUUUUGCUUUGGAAUUGAGAAAAUUAGGAAAAAAAAAAAAAAAAAAGAGCCAGCGCAUAUGGGGUUUAAGAAGAAAAGGAUUUUUUUUUUUUUUAAUUAAAUCAAGUAUGAUUGAAAAUCGAGUUUCAUAAUGAUUUUUGAGAGGUGUUAGAAGCUCCCCCUGCUGCAACCAUGGGCCUUAAUUUUUUGUUGAAACUAUGGGCUUCAAUGUCAAGAUGCGCGUAAGAUUGGAGAUGAAGGAACUAAUACGUUACUCUAUUUGUAAUCUCUUUUUUGGAACAUUGGACAUCCGUACCCAUUAUUUGUUUCUGCUUCCUUGUUGAAAGAUUGGACGCAAAGCCUUAAGACUCUCAAACAUUUGGUUGAUAAAAAAUGGGGAAAAACCGCGGGGUAGAAUUGGGAAGUGGGAAGAGAAUAUAUAUAGAUAAAUGGAUAGGCAAAAGGGUAUCUAAACUUCAAGAUUUGGGAAAAUGGUCACAUAAAAUCGGAGUUCGACAAUAAUUUCGUCUAAGAAGAAGAUUGUUGAGUUGUUAAUUUUUUUAGUUGAAUACUAGAAAUUAUAGGCCCAACCCUCCAACAAAUCAUGAUCAAUGCUCAAUCAUCCAAUUAACCAUUAGAGUUUAGACUAUCCAAAAUGUGUGUUUCAUGAUGACUUUUCAAAAAUAUGUGAUAAUUGAAUUUAAGUGGGUUUGAAUGAACAUUUACCCAUAUUAAGCUAGUUCCCUUCAUUUAUAGGAUUUAAGACUUGUCAAUUAUUGACGUAUAUGAUAGCAAAUGGGACCCGAGUAGGGACCUACUUGAUAACGUAAUAAAAAAUGGGCUAGGGACUUAUUUGAUUAAAAUGGACAAACCGCAUCCUUACCCAAAAACAUAAGACUACAAGACUUGAUAACGUAAUAAAAAAUGGGCUAGGGACUUAUUUGAUUAAAAUGGACAAACCGUAUCCUUACCCAAAAACAUAAGACUACAAGAAUCCGGAUAUCAUUACCCCAAUUUUCUUUUUUUCUCUAAGUAUCAACAACAAUCAAAGUUUGAAACAUAUUUGUUUAAACUCGUCUCUAUUCGAACUUGCCGAACUUCAGUAUCUUUAAGGUUUCUCUUUCAACACGGUUGUUCUCAACCGUGAAUGUUGUCUCUAGCAAAUAAUGGCUUAGAAUAAAAGUUUUGUACAAUAUAUUUUUUCUUUGUUUUACGUUUAUGUAUUAAUACUUUUUUUUUUUGAAAAUCUAUUUUUUUAUCCUUACUUUUUUAAAAAAAUAAACACUGAAAAAGAAUGACUACAGUCAAAACAAUUAUUGAUCUUAGCGUUCACACUCGCUUUAUAUUAUUCUUUACACUCACUUUAUAUUAUUCUUUUAAAUGAUUAUAGUUUAAUAGUCAGAGUUUUCGUCGUUACUGUUCGUACGCGUUCUCAUUGUAUAGUUUCGUUAUUAUUGAAAAUUAAACACCCAAACAAAAGUACCAAUGAAAACAUAUGAGAAAGGAUAUGAGAAAACAAAAAUUAUAAUUGCAAGAAAAAAAGUAUUUACUUCCAAUGGAUCUUAUCUUUCAACUAUCUUAAGAAGAUAAAAAACGCAAGUGGUCAUCAUCAGUUUUUAAUAAUAUUUUAUAACUACCUUAAGUUUUAAUUUUAUAUCAUUUAAUAAUAUUUUCGUUAACCGUCAAAGAAUCUAAGAUAGAAUUCUUGAAUUCAUUUAAAGAUAAAAUAAUAUUUUGAAAGGAUAAGAAAAACAAAAAUUACAGUGGCAAUACAAAUGAAAAAAAAAAAAAAUUCUUUACUUUCAACAACGGGGUAACAUAUUUACCCUUUUCAGAAAAAAACAAAGUGGGAUAUAAAUUUAGGCUUUAUAAAAAGUUUCUUUAUAUAAAGGAUGGUUGUGUGUCAUCAUAUGUCAAUACUGAAUAGUCAUUGGGUGGUCCACAUGUGAAUGUCCCAAUGGAUGACACUUCUCCUACUUUGUCCUGGAUCAUUAAUAAAAUGUUUCCCCAUAAGUCACAUCAUGCCAUCACCGUACAUUAAAAGCUAGUAAUUAUGAAUGAAUCAUUCAUUUCAGACUUUGGGAUUUAAAAAAAAAAAAAGACUCUAGUCAGCAUCACUGCCCUGAGUGAAAGCUCUACAUCAAUAUCAAUUCCCCUCCCCAAUACGUAAAUUAACAAACACAAAUGAAUGUUUUGUUUCAAUAAGUUAUCUAAGGAGAAUUUAAGUCAUCACUUAUAUAACAUAGUGCCUAGCACAGAUAAAAUUUGAGAUAAGGUGAUUGAGAUCUACCACAUAAUUAGAAAUUAAUAUUAGUUUAAGUUAAAGUUGUGAGUUCAUAAGUACUCAACUCAUCCUCAUGUUGGAAAGAAAGGCCAAGGUAGGAACCAUAUAUCAUUUUUCUUUUUGCCCCAAAGUUUCGCUUUCUAAAAUAAUUUCUUUGUGUUCACAUAAAACCAUACAUGAUCGCUUGUGGAUUAUGAUUCAUGAAAAAGAACCACGGUGCAUCUUUUGAUCUAGGGAAUGUUCCCAACUACCAAGUAUGUUGAAACAUCAAUUUUUAGUUGAAAUUUCUACCUCUAACAAGUUGUCUAACUAAGCCCACACUUUUUAUAAUUUUUUUUUUUUUAGGGUUUCUAAAUGAAUGAGGUAUUAGGGAAGUUAUUGCUUCAGAUAAUCAGAAAAAGAUAAAGAAUUAGGUUUUUUUUUAAAGGUUUGGAUGGAAAUGAGAAACCUCGCUUACAAAACAUUAACUCCAACCAUUAUUAUUAUUAUUAUUAUCUUGAACUCAAGUGACCGUCAACGCAAAACACAUUCACAACAGGUCGAGUUGCAUUGAGGAUGAGGGGGACAAGUUGAGGAUCAAUUAUGCCCACAUCAUUGCUUGGUUUAUGUUUAAGAAUUUUCCAACAAAAAAUAAAAUAAAAUAAAGAACGUUGGCAAGAUUUCGAAUAAGUUGGGAAGAUGAUUUUGUUUUUUUUUGGUUAAUUUAGCAGUAUAUUGCUGGGUUUUUUUGCUGGGCUUUUAGUGACAAAGAUUUAUUGGGUUUGUUCUCUGUGGGGAAAGAUUUUCUUAGGCUUUUUUGUUACUCUUCCAAGAAUGGAAUGAAUCAAAUUUUAACCCAAAUGGGGCCUGGUUAUGGUCCAGCAGUAAAAAGUAAUCUUGGGUCUUUCUCCACAGUCCACGCAUUAAUUAAAGCUUUAUUUUAUUUCCUAGUUUUCUUUGAAGAACUCAAAAAGCCUCCAACUCUUAUCCCCUUAUUUUCUCAUAAAAUUUGUAAAUGAGUUCAAUGACUUCAAUCACCAAAAUCAUGUACAAGAUAGGUGUUGCCAACUACUUUUCACUAUUUAAUUUAAUGGUUAACACAUCGAACAAGAUUUAAGUAAAAUUUUCUAUAACUCGAUAGUAAUUCCCUAUUUCUUCAAAGUAGGUUUUUUAUUAGCCUACAUUAAUUUAAGUAUAACAUAUACUUUUUAUCUUGAGUAGAUCUCUUAACGAUAUUAUAUUGGAGUAGACUUUAUUUCCGUUUGACAUAUAUUUGAUUAUAAUGUGAGUGGAUAAAUAUAAAGACAUUAAAAUUUGCAAAGAGAGAGGCAUUGCCAAAAAGAUGAUUUUAUCAACUUUUUUUCUUUAUUUUGGCACAACAUAUUUUUUUUUUCUUUUAUUACAAAAGAAAAUUAAACAAAUGAAAAAAAAAAAAAAAAAAGUAGCCCGUCUUGAAUGCCGGGCAGACAAAGACAGGACUGCCCUUCGAGGGACAGGAGGGUAGAAGGUAUGGUCGCCAUCACGCCUUCUCUUCUUCCACUUCUCCCCAUACAAACCUCUCUUUUCUCUCUGUUGCCCGCCCUGCCCGACUUCAAUAGGAAAGAUUAAAAUAAUGAAUAAAAAUUUGAAUAAUAUUUUUUUUAAAAUAUAUUAGCGAAACGACAAAAGGCUGUGGCUAUGCUAAUCUCUGCUGCUGUCACGCUGACAGCGCUGUCAGCGAGGCGUCAAUCAUAAAGCAAUGGAUUACAAAAUGAUUUGCCUUGAUUCUUGCGUCUCCCCUCUUCACUCUCCCAUUGGCUCUGACACUCACCGUAUGUCUUUGACCGUAUCCUUUACAAAAGCAAAUUAAAAGCAAAGCGAACACAGAGAAAGAGAGAGAGAGAGAGAGAGACACGCUCUUCAGACACGUCACUUCAGUCGACACGUGUGAAGGGGAUAAAAAUAUUUACACCCUUUUUAUGCUCUUUGUUUGCUCUCUCUUUCUCUCCCCCCUCUUUCAAUAAUUUCUCUCUCUUAAAAAAUAAAUAAUAAUUAAAAAAAUUUAGUAAAUAAAUGAAAUAUAUUAGAGAAUGAUACCGUUGGCUCCCGCGAGAAUCUCGCCUUACAAUGCGUUGUGUUGUAAGGAACAAAGAAUGGUUUUGUGAUUUUGUUAGUUUCCUCUAAGAUUUCUUUCUUUUCUUCUCUUUUUUUUUUUUGUCUUUUUAUAUUUGGUCUUUUAUUUAUUUAUUUUUUUGGUAUUAUAUGUGCGGUUUCAAGUUUAGGCUAAAUUUAUUUUUAUUUUUUUGUAUAUCGCAUUUGUUUUGCUAUUAAUUUUCACUUUUUUUGUGAGUAUUAAUUAAAGUUUUUAAGUAAUAUAAAUUAAAUAAUGAAAAUAAGAAAUAUAACAAAACUUUUAUCUCAAAUGAUGCGUUAAUAUUGAUAAAGUGGAUAGAAUUUUCUCAUAAAUUAAUUUAUUAUAUCACUAAUCACUUGAUUAUUGAUGUGAGCUCAUCAACAUCAAGGAUGUUUACUAUUUUUUUGACAAUUACGUUUAUGUAAUAGUUUCUAACUAACAAUAUAUAUAUAUAUAGACUCGAGGUGGCUUUGCUUAUUAAAAAUUCAACUACAAUAUAACGUACAUUGUACCAUCAAAUUAAAUUAUUCCUUAUAUUUUUUCUAGUUUUAGGUUAAAAUUCACAAUUUGUGGGUUACAUGUUUCAAGUUCAUCUAAAUUUUAGUCUUCACUUUGCCUUUUUUUUUUUUUUUCUUUCCGUCGCUUUAAUAAAGGAUAAUUCAAAGUUUAUUUUUGCCCCAAAAUGGUCCACAGGCUAGAAAUUUAGUAGUUGUAUAUACCCAACAAUUAAUCGUUGUAUUGUAGGUGCACCCUCGUUUUAAUUGAAAAGUAAACAAGAAUAAAUGUUGGUUGAAAAGUUUCUUUCUACUCAAUGCCAAAAUGACAUGAUACGUAUUAUUGAAUUUUCAAUUUCAGCAAAGUUUCAAUAUCUAUAAGCCAAAUUGCAAAAUCAACCCAUCAUCCCUAGAUUUCUAACGAAUAAAAUAAAUGGUUGACCAUAUUGAAAACAACAAACGAGUCUAGAGAAUUUGGACAAGUUCCAUUAAGAGACGGUAAUUUCAAAAUUGACCAUACACGCAAAUUGAAAUAUAUAUAUAUCAAAGAGCAUUCAUUGAUGUCACUUGUUCAAUUCUAAACUGCUAGCCUAGAAUCGAAUUAACAUAUUUAGUAUAAUAAUGCCUGACCAUUUUGAUGCUUCACUAAUUACAAUACACUUUCAUUAAUCACUCAUUCAUUACAUUUUCUUUACGAACCUCGACUUAAGGAGCGAACUUGUUUGAAAGAAGAAAAUCAAACGAGUAACAUAAUUAUGUGGAUAUAUAUUUAUAUUUAUAUAUAUACACGCGUGCGCGCACACACACACACAAACGAAGUUCGAAAAACAAUUUAUGAGAAGCAUGAAAGUUGAUAGACCUUGUUAGAAGAUGACAAUUCAGCGAGCCAUUUCGAAUUGCUCAUUACUUUUGAGCUGUAUAACAUAAUAAUUAUCAAAUAAUGGCUUCCGAUCGAUUUUUAUAAAACUUUUCUCUAACAUGUACUGAUGUACAGAAGUGGGUUUCCAUCUUUGGUAGAACAAAGAAAUAAAUACUUGAAUAAAGUAAAAAUUCAGGUCAAAAAACAAAAAUUCAUUAAGGCUGUUGACGGAAAAGGGCUAAAGUAGAAAGAAAUAGUUGGAAAGUGUAAAGUCAAAAUUAAUGAAACAUGCACGAAUAAUUUAAAACACGAGGAGUAAAAGCAAAGCAAGUAAAAGUUUGCAUGAUUCAAGAUUUUCAACUGUGUGCUGCAGCACGAGCAAUCAAUGAAACGAAAACAAAAAAAAGAACAAAAACAAAAACAAAAGUUUAUUGCAUGCAUGUAAGUAGUAAAUGGCUUAAUUACAAAAAAAAAAUAAUAAUAAUACAUGAAUGAUGAAUGAAUGAAUGAAUAUACCAUGCAUCCAGCUCUGCUGUGGGCCCCAUGCGUUACAACUUUUUCAUGCAAAAGUUCUCGAGCUACUCAAAACACUGGCAAAAUUUAUGAAACUAUUUUUAUUUUUCUUUGUUUUCUGCCUUUUGGGUUUUUGUUUUUAUAGUUAUGGGUGAAAACUAGGGUUUGUCAAAAACAGCGUCACCCCAACAAGUGACUUUAUUAUGAAGCAGAAUUAGCAGAAGGCCAGCAGAGAUCAGAGGGCCGGCAGGGUCUCGAGGUGUCAACAUCAGGGCAACAAGAUAAUGACACGUGUAAAGAACGUGGACCGAGAAUGAAUGACUGAAUGAUAGUGUAAUGAUGAAUAAAUAAUUUUUUGACAUUCUUAAGGACUAUUUGUGUGGUUGCAGAAGCUACAGUCUGAUGAUAUAUACUGAUGAGAGAAGCCAGAAGCAGCAGGAAAGCAGAAGCAGAAAAAGCAGCAAGCAAAAAAAUAUAUUGAAAAAAGAAAAAAAAAAAAAAAGCAGAAGCAGUACGGCUCAUCUUCCCUAUAAUCUAUAUGAAUUUGUGGAGGGUCUUUGAGUAGCUCAAGGCUUUUGGCUUUAUGGUCAGUCAGCGUCUAUAGCGUCUCCCCGUGCUAAUGCUACACUUCACUUCUUGUACCCAUUCUCCUCCAUUUUACAUCAAUUUUAAUUACUCAGCUCCACAUAUGGCAAAAUAACAUAUGCACCCGCUGAAUUUAGAGGAAUCGACAAACAUACUAGUAUUAAAUCGGAAACACCCAACUUGUUAACCCUCAUUCCCUAUGUCUUUUAUUUCAUGUUUGUUCACAUGUUCAUUUUUUUUUUUUUUUAGUGAAAGAAAAUGAUUGAUUAAUAUUUAAAAAUUCUAGUCUUUAAAUUGAUGAAACAAUUUAAUUGGUUUUGCCUGAUUCGUGACGCCGAUGAAGGUGUAGCGAACUUGUGAUGAUGACAAUUCUUCAUCAUUAAGUAUUCAGAUUGAAAAAUUUAGACUCAGCGUAACGCAACAUGAAGCAUAAAUGGACCUACCGUCUAAUAAAUUGUUGCCUUACAAGGUACAGGUUGCACAUUGUAGAAUUUAUAUAUACAUAUACACGAGUUUGACGUUGAACAAUACAGGAAAAGUAAGAGAAGGAAACAAUGUGCUGUUUAAUUUGGAAGAGAAGGGCCUUGAACGUUUAAUUAUGAAUAAAAUAUAUGGGCAAAUUAAAAGCAUUUGAUGAUGGGGUCGUGAAGUUUGAAAAUUUGUGUUCAUGCUACUGUGAUUGUGGGGGAUAAUAAGAACACUUUACAAUUCAAAAGUGAUGUCGCUUUAGUACAAGAAAAGUCAAGGUAGUAAAUAUUGGGUGCUUUUCAUCUAUGGUUUUACCUUUUUUAUAAGUAGAGAUUUAAAUAUUUUUCAAUUAAUUUUUUUUCUGUUAUUUCUUUUUCAUUGAACUAGAGAAAAUUGCAUAACAAUGGAAUUAAUUUAGUUUAUUAAUGAAUUUUCAUUUUUUUCGGUUGAGUUGUAUCCUACAUUAGUUUAGUAAAAGGGAGCUACUUGAGUCUACUUAAAGAUUUUAGGCCUAGCCCCACCCUCACCCCUCUACCCCCGCCGGCCGCCACCACACCUCCUCCCAACCUAAUAGAAGUGGUAUUAGAGAUAGACUUUAGUAGUUGAAAUAUUAUAAUGGAACAACUUAGGUGUGUCGAACAAAAAGAUUUAAGGUCUGGUAUUGGGUUCAUUUGGGGGGAGUGUUUCUAGAAAUCUAACUCAAAAGACUAAUACAUUGAGUAGAGAGACAUAUCCUCUUUAUAACUUUAGGUAAUUUCCUUUUACUAGCCAUGCGGACACAAUCCAGAACUCACCAAACAAUUCCCAACCCCCCCCCCCCCCCCCCCCCAAAAAAAUCCAUUUAUACCUUUUUCUAAAUAUGAUUUUAAAUGAUCUAUGAUCUGGGUGGGAAUUGAAUCUACUUUUGGUUUAUUUCAAAAGACUCAAGAACAAUAAUUGACAAGACUUCUGCCGUUCUACGGCUCUAAGUAAGGCAAUAAGCUACUAAGGAUGGAAUUAAAAGCGAAUUGAUCUUACCAAUAUCCACUUUACAAGAAAUAAAAUCAGACAAACUUUUAAUUUUUCUGCCUUUUUGAGAUUUCAAUGCAACAAAGCUAGGUUCAAUUCCCUCAUUGAUUGACAACAAUAUCAAGGCACUGAUUGAUUGGGCAUAUCUCAAGAACAAUGGAAAUUAAUGCAAAGUUGUUGAGGUGAUUAAUUAAUAAUUAGGAGCACUAUUGGACAUCUCUCGUUCUCUCUUAUUAUCUUGCUGGUGAAAACUCUUUUUGAAUAUAAAAUUUUGAUCGAUUGAUUAAUUGGGCCAUAUUGGAAAGCACUAAGUACAGAAUUGCUGUUUGAUUUGGCAUAAUCAAGGUGAUUAGUGCAAUAAUAUUGCUUCGAAACAAAGUAUAGAAAAUGCUUUAAUUAGAAAUUAGAUUAUUUGCUUUUGGAUGAAAAGACAUUAGAUUCUCUUUUUGUGUUGAUUUAUUGACUAAAUAACCAGCAUUUCUACACACUGUUGAAUCACAGUCUUUUACAUAUUCCAUAAUUUCAAAAUUUUAUGGGCUUGUGUGAAAUCACUCUGUCUUAAGCUGAGCUUUAUUUAUAUUUAUUGGAUUAUUAUUGUUUGAUUAUUUUGAGAAUUAUGAAAUAACAAAUGAGUGUCAGAAGUAUUAGGUUAAGUAAUACUAUGCUACUAAUGUUUUACAAAAUAAUUUAUUUUAUUACAAGAAUUUUACAAAUUAUUAUAUUUUACUAUGUUUCUAUUAAAACAUUAAUUCACUUGUUAGCUGACUGGUAAAAAUUGUUUUUGUGGUGAUUCUUAGUACAAAGUUAUUUUUGCCUCUUUGACAUCAGCGUGAUAUAUGUCAGUAGUAAUUGGAUUAACAGCAGUAAAAAGGAAAAUUGUAAAAUGUUAAUUUUAUAAAAUUAUAAUAAUAAAAUGUCAGUAGUAGUUCUUAAAGUGGUCAUGUGAUGAUAACCCUUAUUUAUUUUAUUUACUAAUGUAUUAGGUACAAGGGUCAGCUGAAUCAAAGUCGUGAUCAUUAAAUCUCUAUCAUGAAAUCUUUACUAAUAAUAAUAAGAGAAAAAGUGAAAGUAGGAAGAUGUUAAUGAUAAUGGCAAUAAUUGCUUCUAUAAAGCAGCCAUGCAAGGAGUGUAGACGAGGAGCUGUAUUUAUUGAAAGUUGAAAGUAUAAACGUGGCAAAAGCACAAUCAUCAUAAUGUUAGAACCAGAGACCCUCCUACAGUUUGUUUCAUUCUGUCUAUUUCUUCCACUACAUUCCCCCAUAAAACUCUGAAACCCUAAUUGUUCUUUACUUUCUUGUUCAAUUUUAGAUCGCUCUUAAUCUGUCUUUUUGAUUUAUGCAUAAAAUAAUAAUUGGCUAAAGCUUUUUCUUUUUCUUUUUCUUUAUUUUUAGGUAAACACUUACCACACUACUUUUAUAAUAUAGUUAAAAAAAAAUAAUAGUUGAAACAAAACAUUAAUGUUCAAGAUACGAUUAUACAAUCAUCAAGAUUUCUAUGUAGUUAUAAAUUUAAUUAUAUUUUCACAAAAUUUCAAGAUUUACAUCUAUGCCGAUAAUUGUCAUGCCACAACAUUAAUCUUAGAGAUGGCAUAAUCGUAACUUGUGAUGGAAAAUUCAGUUUUCGGUUCGUUUUUACUUAAAAACUGAAUUUGUUUGGAUUGGAAAGUUCAAACCAAACUUAAUUUGUAAACCAAACCAAUAAAAUCAUUGAAAUACCAAACCAAAAUAAUAAGUGGCUUAUCCAUAAAUUACAUGUAGAUGGGAUUGAGCUAAAGCAUAUUUUUUAGUUAAAACACUUACCAUACCUACUGUUAUUAAUUUUGUUAAAAGAAAUAAUCGUUCAAAUUAAAUCUCUAUUUGUAAUCCUUAAAAUAUAAUUAUGCAGUCAUCAAGAUUUUUACCAAGUUAUGAGUUUAAUUCAAUUUUCUUUCCCAAAUCAAAGUUUAUAAAAUGGUUAUGAAAUUAAUUUACCAAUGACAAUUGAAUGGACUACGGAGAAGCCAUUUUUUACACGCGCUAAAAAGAGAAUGGUUGCGUAUUAAAUGAAUCAUUUAUUCCCCCAUAAGACUUUGACAAACUGACUGACAAAUAAAACUUUUCAAAAAAUGUUUUCAAAGAAAUUAUUUAUGUCAAGUUGUAACCGGCAGUGGCCUUACUUCAUUUGAUUUGAUUUGAUUUGAUUUGAUUUGCCAUCUCUUUUCAAAUUUUGUUUUGUCAAGAGUAACUCCAUAUAUUUCUUCUUUCCGCUUGGCCCGUUUUUCUUUCACUUCUUGCGUAAACUUUGUUUGGCUUCCCGGAAAAACUUUCCUUUCCCUUUCUCUCUUUUUUCUCUGACUGCUAGGGUUCUAGGGCUAUGUUGCAAAGCCAGCUAAUAAUAAUAUAAGAUAUGGAUCUGACAGAUUGACAUCUUAAUAAUUUUCAUUGGUAACAGUUACUGCAAUUAAUUUUUGUUGGUUGCCCGUUGAAAUUCAAUCCUGCUAAUUAAACUUCUCCAAUUUGAUUUGAUUGAUGACAUUAUUUGAUGCUUAUGGGCUCUUUUUGUAAAGGGAAAAAAGGACCUCAAUUUUCAACGAUGAACAAUUAGACACUCAUUAAUUUAGAAAUAGAUACAUAGUUAAAGUUUUAUUAAAUUCUGAUGGGGAUAAACGUACUAUAUAAUAAAUUAUUUUAUUUAGACAUUAUAGUAUAGUAAUUUUAAUAAGAUUGGUGUUCUUUAUCUCUAUUUUUUAUAAAAAAAAAUCUGGCUAUUCAUUUCUCAAUAUAAUUUGGCAGUUUGCAUUGUAUAGGAGAUUAUGCAAAACGUUAAACCCACGGACAAACACACAGAAAAUGCAUUAAAAAGCUCACAUCAAGCCAGUUCACUUGAAGUUGUAACUAGUUACGGACAUUUAGCUACAAAUUGAUCAAUGUUAAAUUGGAGCUAAACAACGGUAACUAAUUCUAAAUGCACAUUUCAAGAAGUGUGGACAUCCAUAACUUAAAUUUUCAUUCACUUGAAUAAUAAUAAUAAUAAUAGACCGCUAGACUGAAAAUUUUAGAUUGAUAGGUAAAUGCAUAAAAAUAAUAUUAAGGAUAAGUUUUAAUAACCACCUCACGUGAAAUGCAGAAGAUUCAAUUCUAAAUUUAAUCGAUAAAGAGAGACAAAGUUUUUACAUGAAAGGAAUCAAACACAAGACUUUAGCUCUAACAAGCUGACCCAAUGUUACAAAGAGAAAAGAAAACUUGUAUUUCAAUGUGAAUAAUGCUUGAAAUCUCAACAUUCAAGUUUUAACUUGAGUCUCAAUGUUAUAUGUCACUUUUUUUAUUAGAUGAUGAAUGUAAAAUUACUGAUUACUUUAUUUAUAUUAACCAAGAGAUGAAUGCCACAUAAGGUAAGACUGAAAUUAUGACUCAAAUAUUGAGAUAUCUAGUAUUGCUUUUUUACUCUAUUUAAAAAAUACUCGGAGUGGUUAUAUCAAAGAUAAUUAAAUAAGAAAGCUAAAUAUACUAAUAUUAAAUAAAAAUAUUAGUGAUCAUAAUCAAUAGGUAUUGAAGAAUCAUGGAGAUUUGAUUUGAAAGAUUAUUACCUUUAACAAUUAAUUUAUAAUUAUUUUGGCAAUAAUUUCAUUUCAUUUCAUUUGUUACUCUUUAAUAUGAACACGCUAACCCAAUUAUGAAAAACCUUAUCUAAGUGAUAAAGGCAAAAAAUUAAAGAAAAAAGUUAUUCCAUCUCCUUUAUCGUUGGUUUUAACACCACCCUCACUUUUUUUUUUUCCCUUUCCUCUCUCUCUCUCUCUCUCUCUCUCUCUCUCUCUCUCUUCUUUUUUAUGAAAUCACUUUCUUCUCUCAUACGAGAAAUUAAUUGCUUUUCUCUUCAUGGAUUUUAACAACACGUCCUUUUUUUAUCUUUCUCUUUUGCCUCCUAAAGAGAAGUUAUAAGGCAACCCAUCACAAAAGGCUCUGGCUUUUGCCCUAUAUACAAACUCAACCAAAGUUAGAAGAACUAGCUAACUUCCCUUUUUUGGUUUUGAUUAAUCAUCUAAAUUACCAUAAGCUAUUCCACUACCACUGUUAUUGUUUAAUUUAGCAAAACUUUCUUCGCGUGAGAUUAAAUUUUAAUUGAACACAAAUUAAUUUCCCAUUCAUGAGUGUCGUUUUAGCAAGGAAUAAUUAUUCAAAGCAAAAGGCAAAAGUAUGUCAUUAUAGUACAAGUCAAAGCUUUUGGGUCAUAUUAGAUUUGUGGACAUAAAUAAAUAAAUAGCUUUACUAUAAUUUUGCAUUUACUAUGCAUGCAUAUUUAUAUAUUUAGAGAAGUUGCUAGCCUGUCUUGUAAGUUUGUUAGUAUUAGGAUUCUGAAAAGUUGGAGGCCAUAUAUAGAAGGUUAAUUUCAUUUUACUUGAUUGAGUAGUCAAUAUUGUUGGUAAUAUUUACUAUUUUUACUUUGUUCUUUUUGUGAGCUUCUUUCAUUAUCAAUCUGCAGGAGACAAGCUGUGAUUGAUGAAUGAUGACAACAACUUAUUGUUAGACCUAUUAGUUCUAAAUAUUGGCAAUUAAUUGAUAUUAAGGCUGCAUAAUUAGUGCAGAAAACGGUUUAAUAUGGAUUUGAUUCUAUUUAGAUUAUAAGUUAGUGUGAAUCAAAAUAUAAACGGUUGGACAAUAGUUUACAACUAAAUAUUAAUCAUACACUAUGUACAUGUAGAAUAAGAUUUCUAAAUAGUUUUGUGUAUUGAUUCAAAAAAAUUUUAAUCUUGAGUGAUAAUAUGUGACAUAUAAAGUUGACACGUGACAUAUAAUGUAUUAUUCAAUGAUAUAAUAAUUAUUUUAUUUAUAAUUCAACAAAAAAGUAACAGCUAGCUACUAAUUGAUAAGUGACAACGUAUAAAUUGUGAUACAAAAUUUAUAUCUCAACUUUAUAUCUAUGGUAUUGUUUAGAUAAAUGUUUUCUAUCGGGAAAAAUUUAUCCUAUUAGAUGAAAAAAUCUUACUAGAAUUCAAAAUUUUAGUAAAAACUAAUCCCACCACACAAAAAGAACACUUCAUUUUUCUUGUUUUCCUUUAUUAUUCUCUAGACUUCUCCUUAACUUUUUUCUGAACCAUUCGUUUAGAAUAAAUUUUCUGCGCAUCGAUGAAAUGCUGUGGGGUUCUUGAAAUUUCCCAACUAGUUCACAUUAAUUUCCACUGAAUUAUGCCAAUAAUUGAGUAACAUUCUUAUGCAAUUCAAAUUUGGACGCAACACAAAGUCGUUUUCUAAGUUGAAAAAUUAAAAAAAAAAUGAAAUCAGAUGAGAAUUAGGACGCUAGCUGCUAUGUUUGAGUCCCCGCAUUAAUAUUCAUGAAUAAGAUGUGUCAGGCUCUUAUUAUUAAUAUUAAUUUUAUACUGAAUUUUAUUGUUAUAAUUUGUAUGUACCAUUGGGACCAUUUACAGCUAGUUGAUCAUUUACAGUGAAUUAAAAGCGGGUAGUAGCUAGAAUGGAAUUUGACAUCAAGCAUGUAAUAAUAUUUAUGAUACAAGUGCUUUUGUCUUCAUGUGGCAGAAGCAAAACAGCAUAAGCUAAUCUUCUAGAAAAUCUACUUUAAAAAUUUUUUAAAAUUCCUCAGCAUUAAUUGGCAACUGUUACAUGAAAUUUAAUUUCUUUUCAUUAAAUCCAUUCCACAAUACCUUGUUUCCUAUAAACCAAAUCUCCAACACAUAUUUAAAGGAAAAACAGAAGGAAAGCUCUACCAAACGCCUUCGAGAAUAAAUCAAUUCAUUGUACAUAUGAUAAAUUGUUGGAAAAAGUUUGGUGGCUUAGUACAAGAUUAUAAUUCAAACUUGCUCUAAUAUCAUAUUAUAAUCAUCUUUUAAUCUAAGAAAAAAAAAGCAAUGAAUAUUGAAAAUACAGUUUUGAAAUCAUGGCAUGGGUUAUUUCCAAGAACAUUCAUGAAAACUCAAGAGGAAUAAUUUCAAACUUGCUCUAUUAUCAUAACAUAUCUAAUGAACUUCUGGGAUAUAAAUGACUAUUUCUAAUUUGAAAGUACGUUUCCACUAAAUUUAAACUAAAGAAUCUACUUGCAUUUUGUUGAACUCUCAAUAUAAUGCUAGGAUUUCAAAAUUAAAACAGAAAGUUUUAAGGUAUAAAAUUAUCGCAUUAAUGAUAGUAUAAAAAUAUCCAUAGUUACUUAACACGUGGCAUUUUUUAAUUGAUGCUACAGCAUUUAAGGUAUAAAAUUUGUAGUCCAAUUAUGUGCAUCUGGUUUACUCAGAUCUCAAAUACUAAAUUUAAUGUUAUGGAUUAAGGCUAGUAUAUGUAUACUUUUUUUUCUCCAUUUUCUCAAUAUAACAUAAUUUUAAAAUAAAUUCUUCUCUCAGUUUUAGUGUGAAUAGAUACGGAUCUCAUAUCUCUUAUAUCACCACCAAAAAAUUUUAUCAACGAAACCCUUUGUGCUGAAAUGAGUAUAUAUGUUUACUUUAGCUAGUGACUGUAUGUAUAAAGAGUUGCGUAAUAUCAAAUAUUUCAAAUUAUAGUGCUUGAUAGUUAUUAGUUUUUCUGGCUGUAUUAAUUUAUGAAUUUAAAUUGACAAAUGUCUCCACAUUAUAGUAAUCAAAUUACUGUGCAGUUAUUUUUAGGAAUUGUCUAGUUGGUUUGGUCCUUUCAGUGAAAAAGAGAGAUUAAGAGAUUAGUUUCUCGUGACACGAAUAUUGAAGUGUAAAAUUCUUUGAUUCGUAUUUGUGAAGUAAAAGGAUCAAUUCUCCAUAGCAACAAUGUUGAAAGGGAAAUAUUUGUAAUUUGUAUUUGUGCAUAGAGUNNNNNNNNNNNNNNNNNNNNNNNNNNNNNNNNNNNNNNNNNNNNNNNNNNNNNNNNNNNNNNNNNNNNNNNNNNNNNNNNNNNNNNNNNNNNNNNNNNNNNNNNNNNNNNNNNNNNNNNNNNNNNNNNNNNNNNNNNNNNNNNNNNNNNNNNNNNNNNNNNNNNNNNNNNNNNNNNNNNNNNNNNNNNNNNNNNNNNNNNNNNNNNNNNNNNNNNNNNNNNNNNNCAUAUAUAUAUUUAAUAUAUAAAAAUUUUUGUUUGGAUUUGAAUCUCAAAGCUUCAAAUUAAGAACCAGGGACAUCAUGCGCUUUCUUUCUUCCUUUCCCCCCCCCCAACCCCCAAUUGGUGGUUUUUGGUUUUUUUGGGUCCUUGGGUUAAUUUAAGAAUCUCUCUUUUUAAAAUCUCAUCUUUCUUUUUGUAUUUUUUUCAAAUUUCCCAUGCAUUCAUGCAAGCCUUUAUUUUCAAGUUCUUUCUUUUGGUUCAAUAUUCUCUUUUUCUUUGUAUAUAAAGCAUAAAGCCACAACAAAAUAAACCUUGAGAAAAUAAAAAAUGAUAAAAGAUAUUCUAUAAAUAUUGCAAAGUGCUCCAUUACAAUUACCAAGGAUCACUUGAUGAUACUUUCAAAGAUAGUUAAAGGUCACUCUCUACCUAAAGUUCUCUCCUCCUUCAUACCCCUCAUGAGUAGUGGUGCAAAACAUACAAAAUCAAUUAAAUUUCGUAUUUACGUAGGAAUAUAACAUAUAUAUAUUUAAUAUAUAAAAAUUUUUGUUUGGAUUUGAAUCUCAAAGCUUCAAAUUAAGAACCAGGGACAUCAUGCGCUUUCUUUCUUCCUUUCCCCCCCCCCCCCCCCCAUUUGUUGCUUUCUGUCUUUCUUGUCUCCUUGUCUUACUUUAGCUCUCUCUCUUUUUCAUCUUUUCUUUUUCUUUUUUUUCCUUCCGUUUCUUUUUCUCUGAUUUAAUCUCAGCAGCAAGCAGCAGGUACCUGAUUCUCUCUUCAUCAUCAACAUCAUGAUCAGCUCCCCUUAAGAGAAAGAGAAAGAUAAUGAUUUCAAAAUGAGUAGUAGUAGUGGUGGUAGUAGUAGUAGUAGUGUUGUGUGUAGUAGCUAGUAGAGGACAAAUCAAUGUGGCCUGCCCAAUGUAAACUCAAGAUUUGGCUUCUUGGGGCUUGUCGCUGAUAUGUUUGGUGAGCUUACAUCUGAUAUUCCUUCAUAGCUCAUGCAUUUUGGAUCCACUUCCUGAUCAAAUAUUUUUUACAAAUAAAAUAAUAACAUUGAUCAGCAAGCAAAGCAAAUAGGAAGACACACAAGACAAAUGCGAGAAAGAUGUGGAAUCAAAAGGACAUUUUGACUCUUAAGAGAAUAAUAGAAUAUUAAUCAACACACAGUACAUGAAAAAAGCCUGCUGCUACAAGUUCUUUUCUUCCCCCACCCAAAAAUUAUUCCCAAAUGAGAAUUAUUUUACGAGACUACUGCAUUAUUGAUCUGAAGAAAUUUAUUAACAUCAACAGUUAAGAGCCUGGGCUAGUUAUUUGAUGAGUCAAAGGAUUAGGUUCGAACUUUGAACAAAAUUUUCUACAAGGGUAGUAUUUCUUUUAGGGCUGAAAAAAAAAGAAAGAAAGAAAAAAGUUCUUUUAGAAAAGCACUUUCUUUCAUUAUACUAGUUAUAUUGACAAAAUUAUCCCUUGAAUGAGAUUUGAAAAAAUGAAAAUAAAAAUUGUCUUUUGCAAGACCUUUGCCUUUUCUCCUUUCUUUUUUUUAUGCAUGGUACCACUAAAAUUUAAGAGUUCUGAACUCAAGUUAACUAACCAAUUUGAAAAAUAUUAUUAGAAACUAAUGAAUGUGCACCUCAAGAGACGGCAGGUUUAUAGCAGAAUCCUUUGUUUUGCCAUGCAACCAAGCUUCCCUGCUACAAAUCAACACAAAGAGAGAAUAUUUCUUAUCAGAGAAAGCCAUGCAGAAAAGAAUUAAAGCAAAAAAAUACUGAAAAAGAGAGAAAAAAAAGUAAAGGAAAAGAAAAGAAAAAGCUAUAUUUUACUGUCUUGUUUAUAAUUCUUCUCUAACUUUACAUAAUAUGCUGAUUGAAAUAAAGUAGCUGUAUAGAACCCACCCACCCAUGUGACAUCCCAUUUCUUCAUAACAACAACACAAAGGAAGUUUCAAAGAGUAUGCAUGUAGUAGUAGCUUUAACAUCAAGAUUUCCAAUAAUGGGUCCAUUUCACAGGAUUUAAGCUUUCAAACUAAGUUUUCUAAUGUAGGUCCCAUUAAAAAUAUAUAUAUACAUAUGAGCCCACAAAAUCCAAAGGAAAGAGAUAUCUCCAUUUUUUAGGUGGAUUUGUCAAAGAAAGGAUUCCCUUAUUGUCUUGGAAUGGUAGGAGAAAAUUAUUUUUUUGUGGUUUCUUUCUUCUAUACUUCCUUUUCACCCACUAGCAAGCAACUAGAAGUGAGUGUAUUUAUAUAAUUACUCCAUCAUGAUGAUGGUCUUGGACAGACAGAACAAACACCACUGAAUCAUUUCUUUCUCUUUUUGUGAUUUCUUGCAUGUAACUAUGUUUGUAUCUAUGUGUGAUUGGAGAGAGAAUUGCAUAUAUAAGAUAAAAUUUUAAGCUAGCAACCUACUAUUGCUCACUUAUACUUUUAAUUCUACAUUGAGAGUUGUUAUCAACACCAGGAUACAUAAAAGAACAAAGAAGAUAUAUGAGUGCCCUAGAUAUUUCAAUCUUUAUUGUUAUAGCUCAAUAGACGAGAAAAUGGAUCAGAAACACUGUGCUUCGUUAGGUUUUAAAGGAAAAAAACUUUUUUUUUGGUAAACCUCGACUGAAAAUUAAAAAACCUAGGGAACAUCAUGAAAAAUGAGAGCUUACAAUAUAAUGCAAGUUCUUUUUUCUUUAUAUGUGUUUCUUUAUAUAUUAUGUUCAUGAUAAGGAACAACCAAUAAUAGGCCAGCUAUAUAUGCACGAAGACAUAAUGAUUAAUGAGCAUGAGCUUCACCUUGAAGAGUUGCUCCAGAGACCAUUACUUGCUCUUCCUUGUUGUUGAAUAGAUGAUGUCUCGGGCCUUCUCGGGUGUUGAAUUCCAAACAUUAUAUCUUCAGAAGUAUCCCCAGAUGAUCCAUUUUCAAAUGCAUCUGAUUGUCCUGCAUUAAACAAAUUAAAUUGAACUCAAUGCAUGUAUAUGAAAGUAUAAAUACAAUGUAACUAGUGUUACUAGCUAGUUCAUUAUUAUUUAAAAGCACGAACCUGAAGAAGCUGCUGCUCUAUCGGUGGUCUUGACGGUUCGAUACAUCUGCAAAAUUUGAUUUACAGAAAUAAUUAAGAGCUAAAUUCAAAAUUAAUAAAUAAAAAAUGGAUGCAGCAGAAGCAAACAACAAAAGGGACCAAUAUGCUGUUUUCAAUACUAUACUAGAGGACAUGGUCCAAAACAGUGCACGAUGAGAGGACAACUACAAGCUGUAAAAAAAGAAAAAAAAAGUGUAAGAUAUGAGUAAGUAAAUGCAUAUAAAUGCAUGCAUGUGUGUUUACUUUAACCAUGGUAAAGCAAAUGUGGUUAAAAAAUUACCCAAUCUGAUUCUUCUGAAGAAGAUAUAUCAUAUCAUUGAGAAAUGAUGGUGUUUUGUACUUCUUAUCUUUAGGAAAAAAAAAUUGAAAGAUAAAAAUCAAAUAAAGAAAUCCCACUGUCUUGGCUUGGUCUUAUGACUUAUUUUUGAAAAAAAAAUUUCUUGGUGUUUGUCUUACUUGUUCCCUGAAAUCGAUGUUAUUCUCUCUCUCUCUUUCUCUUUCUUUCUCAAUUUUAAUUUUUUAUUAUUUUUUAUCUUCUCACUCUGUGUUAUUGAAUUAUUUUGUUUAACUUGGGGCAGCUGGUUCAUUCUUCCAAGCAAAAAGCUGUUAAUUAGCUAGCAGAGGCAUCAGAUCUAGUAGAAAAAGAAGUGCUAAGAAUUUGAGAGACUCUGAUGAGCAGAGAAAAAAAGAAAAGAAAUAAAAGAAACAUUGGAAUUUGUAAUAAUCUUAAUGUUCUUUCUAUUAACGCCCUUUCAAGUAAUGUAGGCUGUUAUUAACAUUCAAAUCGAGCUUACAAUAAGCUCUAUUAACACUGAGCAAUGGAAUAUUUUAAUUAAGGACCCAAAACUUCAAAUCAAAAUUAAAAAGAAAAAAGAAAAAAGAAAAAAGAAAAAAGAAACCCUUAAGAGGAGAGGAGAGAACAAACCCAGUUGGGAUUAAUUGAUAAUGAUAAGUUCCUUUACCUGUAAGUGAGAUUUAACAUGAGCCAAGGUAAGAUCUUUCACAUCCAUUAGCUCAAGAACUGAUUUUGGAGUUGCUCCUAUACUCAAUAUCAAACCAAGAGGAGUAAUUAAUAUGAGUUUAUAAGAAAAAAUCUUUUAGCCAGAAAAGAAAAGGGUACUAAAGUAUAUCGAAAAAAGAAAGUGGAGAAAAAAUGAAAGCAUACUUUCAUGGCCACCCAAUAACUCAACAGCAUGAACAAAGCGAGCAUGAAGAGUCGUAGUCCAUCGCAUCCGCGGAGCUCUCAUGCUUCGUUUUGCCGGAAACCUCGACAUGAAUCUUGAUCUCAUCAAACCUUGUUGUGACUGAAAAGAAUUCAAACUCGAGGUACUUGUGUUAUUAUUAGCUACCAAAGAUGGAGGAGGAGGAGAAUCCAAUGGCUGUUGCUGAUGAUGAGGGAAUGGAAAAGCAUGAGAAGCUUGAUGAUGAUGAUGAUGAUGAUGAGGGUUUUGAUAAACAGGGAUUCCUCUUAUGGGUCUCAAGAAACCAAGCUCUUGACUCAGCCCUUGCUGCUGCGGCGGUUGAUGAUAAAGCACUGGGUGGUGGUGUUGGUUUUGAUGAAGAUGAUGAUGUGUAGGAAAUUGACUAUGAUUUUGCUGAUGAUGAAAAGAGUGAAAAAUGUUGUUGCCAUUACAAUUAGUGGUGGUGGUGGUAUUGUUUUGGAGGAGAUGAAACUGAUGAUGAUGAUUUAGAUUAUUAUUCGACGACAGAGACUCAGAGAGUACUGAAGAAGAAGAAACCCUUGCCGGGUUUGAUAGGGAGAGUUCGAAGCCACCGCCGGUUGAUAUAUCGGAGGAGGGCUUGGCGUUGGCGGCGGCCAUUGAAGAAGAAUUUCUUGAGUCCAGAGCUCGCUUCCAAAAUCCCAAAUCCAUUUCUUCUUCAGCAGCUGCACCUCUCCUGCUGCUCCAUGUUGAUGAGGGUUUGCUGUUUGGUGGGCUGAUUUGUAAAGACAAAUCAGGUUGAGCUGGAAAUAGCUCCAUAUCUUUUUGAACUCCUACUACUACUAACAACAACAACAAAAUUACUAUAGGACUCCCACCUUUCAAAGCUUUCUUUAGCUUAAUUUUCGUUUCUAGCAGUAUAUAUGAUUUGUAAGAUGCUAGCUUUUGAGUGAUGAUGUAUGAGUUAACAAAUAAGAAAGAAAGAAAGAAAAAAAAAAAAAAAAGGUUUUUGAAAUCUUGAGGUGGGAUUUAAGGAGGAUUCUUGAGAUGGGGUUUGAUCAAAUUUUGAGGGGGGAAGUAGUUGUAGUUGUGAAGUUGCAGAGAUUUGAGAAUAAAAAGAGGGAGAGAAAGAAAACAGAGAAAAGAGAGAGAGUGAGAGAAGAAAUGACAAGGUAUGAAGUGAAUGGUUGUUUCUUUUGUGUGAAGUAUAUGUGAGAAAAUGACACUUGAGAGAGGCUAAUAGGAAAGAAAAUAGAGAGAGAAUGAGAAAGCAAAAGAGAAAAAAUUAAAAAUAAAAAGAGAGAGAGAGAAAAAAAAGUUUGUGUUUCUUUUUUGUGGACGUGGGGGGUAGGGUAAUUAGGGUACUAGGAGGGUGAAAAAGUAAGAAAAAAGAUUAUAAAAGUAAACAAAGCAAAAGUAAAUAAGUUUGGGGACUUGAUUUUGAUUCCACAUUUUUUUAUUAUUCUUUCUUUUUCACUUUGUUUUCUUUAAUAUCAAGGAUUAAAGAAAAGGCCAAAGAUUUUUGCGUAACAACUUUUUAAGGGGUUUAUUUCUCUCUUUUUUUCCUUCACCAUCUCAUACGCUUACUUUCUAAACCACACAUGCUUCUUCUUUUAACUGAAACCUAUGUUUGGUGUUCCUCCUUUUCACAAAACCCUAAAAUCAUCCAACAAUUUUUCAUUUUUUUAAAUUUUUAAAAUUUUUUAAUUUCUUACACAAAACACACACACACGCAUAAUAAUUAUUACUCACAGUUUUCCACAUCCUAGGGUUUCUUAAACCCAAAACUACAACCACUCAUUGUGAUAUGAUGAAACCAUAAUUCUCACCCAUCAAAUCAUUUUACUUUGUCUAACUUUUGGGCCCCCACCCCUCUCUCUCUCAUUUUAUCCUCAUUAUCUCUUGAUAAUUUGAAGCUAUAAAAUUUGGAUAGUUUUACAUUUACAUGGAUGGUCCUGCAACAGCUCCUCCUCUAAAGUGAAAGAGGGGGCGGGGCAUUAGUUUGAAAGUCAAAUCAACCUUAAUUUUUCAAACAAAUUACAAAUGAAUAUAUAUAUAUAUAUAUAUAUAGGGUUCGGCUAUGGUGCAACUGUGAUACCAUGCCACAGUUGCAUCCAGCCGUUGAAUUCACUUGGAUGAGUGGGGUCUAUUGGGAUCCAACGACUGGGUACAACUGUGGCACAGUACCACAAUUACACCACAGUUUUUCCCAUAUAUAUAUAUAUAUAUUUAAAGUGGGGUAAAAUAGUAAAUUCACAUAGUCUUCUUAUUCAACAUCAGCCCCAGAUCAUCAAAAUUGGUGUACCAUCGACAAAAUGUUAUGUGGGAUUAAAUCAGCAGAAAGACAAUUUAGAGACCCCGUUUUGGACACAGCAUGUAAUUCAAAAGGACAUAUUUGGCUGGCAGGUAUUAUCAUGCAUAAUAUUAAUGGUGCUUGCAAAGUCGGUAAACAUUAAUUAAGUAAUCUAAGAAAAGUAAAUUAACUUUUACCAUUUAUUUUGAUUUUGGCAAUUUGGGGUUUCUUCAACACUCAAUCCCACACCAAAUUUGUCUUAGAAAAUCCCAAAUAUGGCCCAAAAUUUACGGGGGAUCAAUAUCUAGGGUAUAAUAUAAAAUCAAAAAAGUUAAAAAAUAUACAUGAUAUUGAAAAUGAAAAGGCUUAUGCGGAUUUCUUAAUAUAGGUUUCAAAUUGGAUGGACUUCUCAACUAACUUAAAGUUGUUCAAACUAUGCUGCAUGAGUAUCAAUUUUGUUCUUCAUGUAAGCCAUAUAUUCAUGCUCAUGACACAUUGCUUGAAAGUUCAAUUCCUAAAAGGUGGUUUGUAUUCAUUAUUUCGAAUAAAGUUGCCAUAUUUUUAGAUUAAUGAUCUUUUGAAAAGGAAAUUUUUGUGAUGAAUAAGUCUCUUUCACAUAUGUGCAACCACAUACACCAACAAGAUUUCUAAUUAAUGCAUAGGCUUAGUGGUUUAUGAUUGUUUUAAAUUUUGACAAAGGUUUUUGUCCAUUUAAUUUCUAAACCAUGGGAUACACCAAUAAUUAAACCAAACUAUAAGUAUAAACCACUAUUUAGACUAGUGUUGGAGGAUUAAUUUUUGUCUUUCUUUGAACGAAUAUAUUUUUAAGUUUGACUUCAACUAUAGUACAUGGAGACAAGUCUAACAGGAUUUUUUGAUAUAUCUGUCAGUAUAUUCCUAAAUCUGUACUAAUACAAUGUUAUUUUUUAUAAGAAUUUUUACAAUGAAAAUAUUAAGCUUUAAAGGACUCAAUUUUGAUUGUGACCACCUAAAAUAUCAUCCUAAAGCGUUUUAUUUUACAACAGAUAAAACAAAUGACUAUUUAUUUUUAAUUUUAAUGUAAAAUUUAAUUUUGCAUUGGUCCCAAAAUGCCAUGUGGUUUAUGGAGAGGUGGCUUUAAUCAUGCAAGGUAGGCUCAUACUUCAUAUUCUUUCUAGUUUAGGAAGUAACAUCAAGCAUAGCAAAAAUUUCGUUUAUCGUGAUUAAUCGGCGCACUUGUUUAGAAUAAAGAAUUAUUGGAAUAAAGCCAAUAAUAUAUAUUAAACCAAUACUUUUUCUCAUAUUAAUUUUCUGUUGCUAUCUUUGGAUUUUAAUUUUUCAUAUAUUAAACCAAUGGCGUGAUCGUGUGUAUUGCGAGAUAUUCUCUUUAUUUAUAUGCAUCUAUAUGUUAAUUAGUGUAAUUCAAUAUGGCUAAUCUUAUUUGACUAGUAUGGAAUGUUGUUUGGUGUAGGGGAAAAAAAAUCAGGAUAUGAGUUUGCUUAAUCAUAGUAGGGUUAAGUUGUGAAGAUCUAUUCUUUUAUUUCUAAAACUAAUUAAUCAAAAGCUUGUAUUUACUCACAUUCAAGCUCAAAUCAAGGAAAUUUUGGCCAAAAAUUAUAUAAACUAAAAUUUUUACUUCAAAUUUUUAGUAAAAAAACAUAAGUAUUCGUCUCUUUUAAUCAAACAAUGUCAAUCUCAAAGUUAAAAAAUAGCAUUUAAACCUAUAUAAUUCCAAUAAUAUUCCAAACCAUUAGUUUAAAUAGAAUAGUUGAUUACAUCAAAAUUUCAUCAAAAUCUAGUUACAAGAUUUUGACCUUGCAGUACAACAUUACACAUAUCCUACUUCAUUUUCUAAUUGUGUUGUUAUGGACACAUUAUUUGAUAACCGUCAACCAUCCAGUCUCUUAUUCAAAUAUCAUUGUACUUGAUUUUUAAUUAUAAUUCCAGACCAAGGCAUAGUUCCUUUCAUAUGGAGUAACCUAAUCUCCCUAGAACUCAAGAAAUGGAUUCAAGCCUAAAAAAUGUGCGUGCGUCAAAUCACUAAAAGGAAAAAUUAACUUCUAUCCAAUAUAACUUUAUAUGCGUACUAAUUUUAUUGAAUUCAUUCUAAUUCUAUGCAUUUACAAUAUUUUUGUUUACUAUUACCAUAUUUAAUAAUAAGUUUUUACGAUAUUUCAACUAUUUCUUGGAAAUCUAUUCCCACAGAAGUAGUUUCUAUGACUGCUCCAAUUAUUUAUGACUGAAUUACAUAAAUUUCCGUGAGACUUCUUGAAAUUGUGAGUGCUAUCCAACCCUUUUACUAACUUGACAUAAAACAUCAUACCAUAUAUGGGAUUUUGACAUGACAAAAAACCUAAUUAUCUAACUACCUUUACUGACUCACCUUUAAUUAAUUUCUGUCUUACAAUGCGUAUUAGAAGUCCCAUUCAAAACAACAUUACCAUUACUCCUUUUAAGCGAGGAAGUGAUUUAAACAAAUAAGAAAUGUUACCCAAUUUUUAUUUUCAUCAUAUAAUUAACGCAAUUUUUUUUUCUUUUGACUAGUAGAAAGCAUUGCUAUAUAAGAAAGUGAGACACACUUUGUUUUUAGUCUUGAUGGGUUAAAAAGCCAUUUACAGUUUAAUUUAUCAAGGAUACAAAAGAUACUAAAAACAAUUUUUCUCUUUAUGUUUGUAGGCUUAAUUAAAUAAAAUUUAUUAUAUUUACCAUUAAUUUUGAGAUAUUUCAACGAGUCUUUGUUUCUUCAUAAUGAUAAAUUGAAAAUUAUAUGAAUGUAUUAUUAAUCUAUGGACUUCUAUAUGGUAAAUAUAUAUGGUAGUAGGCCUUUUUUUAUAUUGAAAUGUUGUAAACUUAACCUAUAGCUGUUUUGGAAGAAAUUAUAAUUAUGAAAUAAAAAUUAAUAGUGUAUAAUAUAUAUAACUUUAAGUAAUAAUUUUAACAAAAAGAGUGAAGAUAAUAUGUAUUUUUUAUCAUACAAGUAAUAAAUCAAAUCAAUUUAUCUUCCAAAUUAGAGCAACUAGUGUUUAUUAAACAUUUUAUUAUUAUAGCUUAAAAGUUACAACUACCAAAACUUUGGUAAAAUUUCAAAUAAGUCCUUCUAAUUAAAUAGAUUCAUUCAUAAUAAUAUUAUUAAUAUCUUCAUUUAAUUUAAUAACAUUCCAACUUUUCUUUAUACUUUUUAAUUUAAGUAAUCUCAAACUCAAUUUCUUUCUCUCAUCUACUCCUCUCUCACUUUUAAACAACUUUAAUAACAAAAAAAAUUAGAAUACAAUAUUAAAUGCUUGCAUUUUGCUUUUAUUCUUGAAAUUAAAGAAUUUGAUUUAAAAAAAUAAUCGUCUUAGGUUCAAUUUCAAUACAAUAUUAUGAUUUAGUUCAAAAUUUUGAUUCAUGAGAAACUUCAUAUUCUUUUCUUUCAUAAUUCUCUCAAUCAAAUGCUUAGCAAAUUGCAAGUCCAUUUAGUUUCUAUUUAUAUUAAUUGAAAUUUAAAGAUAAACUUUUGUUCAUUGUUAUUUAUCCCCGCAUAAACCUUUCAAUAAAAUGUGUAUUGUACUCUUUUACUACUAGUUAAUUUAGUGGAUACGUUUGUGUAUCUUUUUGUUGGUAGAGAUUGCUUGUGAAUGUAUAGUUGAAGUUUAACUUUUAAAAGAAUAAAAAAAUCAUAAUUAUGAAAAUAAUUUUAGCCCACCCUUAAAAAAAAUUAUAACUUCGCCUCUGCUCAAUACCAAAUAGAACCUUAAACAAUCCUCAACUCUUGCGCUAGUUUUUAAAUUGAGUUAAAAUCACAGACCUAUGUAUGCCAUUAGACCCAAAUUCAUGUACGAGUGGCCCCACACUAUCUCACCAUGUCAUAAGGACUAGGUUAAAAGGCUGGCUUGCACAUAAGUGUUAGAGAUAUUAUUCCACAUUUGGUUGAUAAUGAAUCUUGGGUUAACUACAUUAGGUAUAGUCAAACUAUCAACUCUUAAGUUUGAUUUUGAGUUAGAACCAUGUACUUCUAUAGCUUUCAUGAUUUAAACAACGUUGAUUGUUUAUUUACUACUAUGGUCUGUUUUCAGUGUAAAAUUCAUGCUGAUACCAUCAACCGAGAUUAAACUUUUAAUCUUUCAACCGUUUAGGUAUUAGGUAUAAUAAUAUGAUUCUUAACAAAGCACGUUACUAUAUCAAUGAUUGUCGGUUCAUUUUGAUAGAAUAGGCACCUAUGAUCAAAGGCAUUAAUUUGCAAUUGUAAUGUUUCUAAAGUUCGUAAAUAUAUAAGCAUUUGAAAUCAAAUUCCAACAUCUACUUUUAUGACAAUAUAUUGUGACUCGUAAGUGCAGAACUCCUUAAUUUGUACAACCUUAUCUCCAAUUUCCAUUUUAACUAUAGCAAAUAGAACAUAUAUGAGUUAAAAAUAAUAAUAAUAACGAUACCUUUAGGAUGUAAUAAAGUGUUUUCUUUAAUUUGCUCAGAAACCUUUUUGAAAUUUUAUGAUUUUUUUCAUGAAUAGAUCUAAAUGAUAAGAUGACAAGUUAUUGCAUGUAAGUUGAAUUUUAACAUGAAUUUGUGACACUUUUGUUUGGUAAUUGGCUUGAUAGAUAGAGUGAGGCAAGACUGCAAGUUGGUCCUAUUAACUUGACCUCUUUUGUCGGUAAAACAACUUUAAUUGCUCUGUCAAAUAAUUAAUUAUGUGCGUCCUCAAAUAAGCAAUGGUUGAUUUUAUCAUUUGACUUGAUUUUGUAGGUCGGAUUAAUUCUCCACCGUCUAAUGCGCCCUUUUUAUUUAUUAUUUCUCAAUUUCAGAUGCUUUUUUUUUUCUUUUAAUCGUCGGAUAUCAAUUAAUGAAAAAAAAAAUACAUAAUAGAACACUAAAGUUUACCUAAAUAUAGAAGUAGACCACAACAUUUAAAAAAUGAAAGCAUAAAUCUCUUUUUAAUUUUGAGCUGUAAUAAUGAAUUCGGUGGACGUAGCUUUUUCGUUGAUCUUUUGGUGAGAUCGAUCUUACCAUCAUAUAGAUCUCAGAAGAUAAGAGUUUGUCGACAUAUUUGAUGUGGCCAAAUAAAUAAAAUAUUUUGAAAGAGAAUUUUUAUAUUCAUAACGAUAUAUUUGAGAAACGUUCUGAAAACCUGAGUAUCCUUUUCCUUUCAUUAUUAAACAUAGCAAGAAAAUGGCCGAGCUUUGAGUUGUAAGCCAUAGCCAGUACUAAAGUGUCCUACGUUUAAUUUAUUAUUGGUUCUACAUUUCUAGGCGUGGAAAGGGCUGUGGCUAUUCCCGUAAUUUUCAAAAUUCUUUUUAGUUUCCACUGAAAUAUUUAUUGUUUAUCAUAGAUUUAGUUCCACAAGUUGCUGGAAGAAAACGUUUAUUUUUUUGCCCUUUUGGUGAAAACUGUAGAAUCAAUUAUAUUGGCCAUAUUGAAAGACGAUGCAAAAAGCUUUUGAGACCUUUUAUUAUUAAACCAUGUGUAUAUUGCUGAGCUAUAAAUAUUAUAAUUAUAAAGCAUCUGUAAUCGUCAAAACUUUACCAUGUAUAUUUGCUUUUUGUGUCCCAUUUCUCUUGGUCGCCUAUCUUUGCCUUUCUAUUUUCAUAAAUUGAUCAUCGAGGCCCAACUCUCCCACCUUCCCUUCCAUUAUCAUAUAUUGUUAAAAAAAUAUGUAAAAUAAGUAACAGUGCUUCAAUAAAUUUAAAUUAUUAAAUAGGCAGAAUUCAUAUGGAUGAGUAACAUUCGAAAUUGAUAGUGAUAACUCAUCUAUUUUAUCUACCAUUGAAUUGCAUGAAAUCAAUUAAUGAAAUUUUUUUUUAGAAUCGUGUAAGUCAAAAAUUUAAAUUACCCUAUUAGUGAUUAUUGUUCAAAUUUUCUUUUAGAAUAUGUUAAUUCUAAAGUUUUUGAAGUAACUGAUUUGGUGUCUCGAAGAUCUUAAGUGGUUUUCAUAUAGUUUUAUUUGAUUGACCAGACAAGUUCAAAUCUUGAGGGAAAUAGAGGCUAAAAAAAUUAAUCUGAACUCAGUCAACCCUCCUACUUCUAUAGAGAGAUACUUAAAAAAAAAAAAGUCAUUAAAAUUUGAGUGGAUUGAGCCAAAGAGUGAAGAAAUUAGAACUAGUGACUAGUGAGUGGUGCUCAAUAGAAUUGAACCUUGAUUAUGUUUUGACUACCCAAACUAAUAAUAAUAUUAAUUUUCUUAAACAUUGAGGCAUCAGUGCAUUACAUUGUCUCUAACUUGCUUAUUACAUUAAGCCCUAUCUUGAGAUCAACAAGAUGCCAUAUGGGGAUCUCCAUGCAAAAAAAAGACAUUUGAUCCUACUUCCUUGAAACACUCCAAUAAACAAAAAUUAAUAAAUGAAUCAACUCAAUCCUCAUCCAGUGAAUUCCUUGACUUUUCAAAAUAACUCCAAAAUUUUUUAAUUAAUAAAUAUUUAAGCUACGGUUAGUACUAGUACUACAAGGGGUCAUCCAUAGAAUGUAUAAAAUGCUUAAAUAUUAAUGAAAUAACAAGUAUUAAGAUCGAUUUAUAAUUUAAUAUUUGGCUUUCCUAGGGUUCCCGACAGCACUGGAAGCUAUGUACUAAACAAAUAAUUUGUUUAUAUACGAAAGUGUUGAUUAUGUUAAUGUGCAUGUUUCUAAUUUUAAUAAAUUCCAAAGUUUGUUGCAGCUACCGACGCAGAACAGAAAUAGAAGACUGACAAUAUUUUGUUUUCUGUAGCUAUGAGCUUCGUCAUAUUAUUAAUGCAGUGAUUAUUAUAAAAAAAUCAAUUAAUUAAUCAGAUCAAUGUCAACCUCUUCUCGGUAACAAGAAUUAGGGUUUCAAACACACAUGUUCUCAUGAAUUUUUAAUACAAAAUCUGUAGUGUAUAGAAGCAUCUAUUUUUUAUUUUUUGUCAGAUGGAGAAGCAAAAAUCAAAUUCUUUAUUUGGUAUUUGAUCUUAUUUUCCCAAGGCUGUUGCUAUAACGAGAGAGGUCAAGAAGGAAUCUUACAUUAAUACCUUAAAUAUUAUAUCAUCACCUCCUUUGUUUAGAGCAGAUUUCGAUAUGGUGUCUUUAUUCCAUACAAUAAGAUAUUAUUGUACAUUUAUUUAGACUAAGGGGAUUAAUUAAUUAUCUUGUCUACUAAAUUGAGUAAACGAUCAAAUUGACCGGGCUCCAGACCAAAUUGUAGUUGUUUGGGUCUGUAGCUGAAUUUGCAUAUGUUUAAAACCUUUAUGCAUUAGACAUUUGGACUUGGCUUCUGCACAAAACUAUAUCUUACAAAAUUCAAACCCUAAAACCUCUGAUCUUACUGACUAGACCUUUGAUCUGAUCAAGAUCAGUGUCUGUAGUACUAUUGUUGAACGUUUAUCCAUCCGUUAAGUUUUCUCAAGUUAGGUAAUUUUUUUAAAUAAUAUUAAAAUUAGGGUCUCGUGCUCAAUAGUGCAUAUAUAAUCAUUCUCAGGUGCGGACGCCCGCAUUUUUUUUAAUGCGGACAUAUUUUUAAACUGUAUGGUUUAAAAGAGUUAGUUAUUAGAUGAACUAUAAAAUUAUGCGGUUUAAAAGAGUUAAAAACUAACUGUUUUAAACCCCGCAGUUAUAAAGUGUGUCCACAUGAAAAAAAAAUAAGAACACCCGCACUAAAGGACUAAUUGCAUAUAUAUAAACUCUAUUUCAAAAUUUGGGUUGAUUUUUAAGAUCUUGUCUCUCAACGUAGGGGCGGCUCCAUGAAGAGAUGGGCAUGGGUUGUGGCCCCUAUACAAUUUUUUUUAAAAAAAAAUUAGUAUGCAAUUUAUUAAGUUAAAUAAUAAGAUAGCUAAAAUAAAAUCCUUCAAGUUACUUAUAUUUACCAAAAUACUAGCAUAAGUAUAUCCUUUAAAUUAAGCUAACUUUAAUAGUAGCCCAUGUUUGACUCUUGUAUUUUCUCCCAAAUACUCAAUUUGGCAGUUCUCUCUUUCUAAACCGUAAAAUCCUCAAUUCCCAGUUCUAAUUUUUUCAACUUUAUUUUUUGAAAAGGUUAGUUUAUUAUUUAGCUUCUUUAUUUAAUUUACAAUUGAUAAUCUAAAUUAUUCCCGGAUUUAGGUAAUUGAUUGUGAUGAACGCUGCUUUUAUAUAUAUAUAUAUAUAUAUAUAUUCAUAAUUUUGGAAUCUAGACCUCCAUAAAUAAAAACUCUUUACCUUUAAAAAAUAAAAAUAAAAAUGAGGAUUUUUUUUAUUUUUUUUACUUACUUUUUGAAAUAUUUUUUUAUUCAUUAUAUUGAUAAUUACUUAAUUAAAUUCGAGUUUAUAUUAAUCUUUUUGGUAAUAAAUUCUUUGACCCCUUUAGUUUUUGUAAUAAAUUCUUUGGUCUCUUUAGUCAAACAUGGCUUAUUCCGCCCCUAUCUCAAUGCAUACAUCUACAAGGCUUUGGGUCUAGCCUGGUGGCAAAGCUCAAAGAGGGAAGUUUGGCCAAGCUCUCUUAGAUUUUUUUUUUUUAAUUUAACUACAAAAUUACCACUAUUGAAACCCAUAUAAAAUUUUUAUUUUAAUUAGUUAUGUCAUCUCUCUAACUAUCAAAUUCUUAUUUGAUUUUAUCAUUUAAAGGAUAAAUAUGUUCUUUAAAUAAUCUCAAAUGAUGUAUUAAAUAAAUAUUUUGACGGACAAACCUCAUUAUGUAUUAUUAGAUGUAUCUUUAAUUUUUUAUUAAUAAAGUUCUCUUGUACAAUAUAUAAGUAUAAUUCAACGCACCUAAUAAAUGUUGUUAGCUUUACAUUUUAUUCAUAAAAUUCACUCAUACAAUAUGUAAGCAUUGAAUUAGAAAAAAAAAAAAAGAAGAAAUUCAGCCCACCUAAAAAAUGUUGUUAGCUUGGCCAUUGAUCUAGCCAUUUCUAAAAAUAAAGUACCCCAUCAACUCUUCGGCCUUUUGAUGGUCCACAUAUCUAAGAUUGUGGGAGCACUUCUCUUACGUAUUGUCAUUACAUAAACACAUAGUAGAACAUUUUUCUUCACAAGAGAGAAUAAAAUAUUUUUUCCGCUAAUAUUGACUUCUCAAAAUGAGAGUGAACAUCACAUGAUCUUGUGAUUUUAGUUUUUAUGUAUUUUGAACUCAUAGAAUGUGAUGAUGAAUAUUGAUAAUGACCCGGUGACAACGAUCAUCAAUAGCUUUAAUUAAUAAUUGAGCCAGAAAAAUACUCAGUACCGACAUAAGCUUCACUAUUUCCAGGACAAUUUAUUGUCAAUGAAAAUUUGCAGAGGGGUCGGCAUGUUUCACCUCUCACAUCCCCUUUCUGUAAAUUAUAGAAUUAUAUUUCGUAUAUGCAGUGAAAUGUUGUAAUAAACUUGGAACACAAUUAGUUUGACAAAACAUAGCCACGUGAUUACAACAAAAGGCUUUCAUUUUCGUUGAAAGGUCAGAGAAAAAUAGAGAGAAAAUAGAUAGGAAUGAUCAUGAGAUACACUAGAAGUUUAAAUAAUAUUUAGGAAAAUCUGAGUAUAUAAUCUAAUGAUUCAAUAAUGAUUGGAUCUCUAAAGAGGGUAUGUAUAACUAAAAACUCGCAUGUAAUAACCAAUUUUACCUUUUGUUGCCUUUCUGCAGAGCCGUAUGAUAAAUAUUACGGCUAUUGUCAUAGAUUUAAUUUGUUUUCAAGUGAUGUGCUGAUAGAUGCUAGAAUUCAACACCCACAUGUUCACUUUGAAAUCCAUACUUCAAUUAAUUCAUCAAGGACCAUAAAAGUGAUAAGCAUCACAUAAUUAGGAUCCAUAAGAUAUGAUCUCAAAGUUUCUCAAUUGAGUCAAUUCUAAGCCAAAAUUUUUGCCAUUAUUUCAUAUCAUGGACAUUAGUAUUGCAAACAUCGAAAAACAAAAUCCCAAAUUAUGGUGAUUAAUAUGUUUUUUUUUAUGGGCCUAAUCAUAUUCAAAAGCUAGAUUUUGAGUAGAGCUGAGGAGUACUUAUAUUAGUAACUCAGCAACUAUUCUCAGCCGAUGUGUGAUAAUAUUCUCGACUCGCCUUGUCACAUGCAGGUAGGCCUUUUUCCCUCAUCGUUGUCACAUGGAAGAGUAGAUACCUCUUUUUUCCUCAACCUUGUCAUGUGGAAGAGUCGAUGCAUUUUUUCCUUGUCCUUGUUACGUGGAAAAGUAGUACGGAACUACUCGUGCAUGAGUUUGGCUAUGUUCUCAUAUAGAAGUCGAUGGGCCUCACUCAUACUAACAAACUAACUCAAACGUUAAGGGCUAUCUAAGCCUUAUAUGUGUAACAUAAAAUUCAUUCUUAACUGAGGCGGAAUAUUGUCCGUAACACAUUUUAAAUAUUUUCAAAUUAAAUUGUGUAGUUAUAUCUUUACUCUUAUUCUGUUAAUGUCUCAUGCAACAGAUUGCUAUAGAUAUUUUGAUUUCUUUAUUUUGAGCACUGGUAUAAUGAAACUGAUCAUUAAAAAAGUAGGGACAUAGCAUUCUUGAUAAUUCUUCAGCGGGGAUUUUGCAAAGAAGUUUAUGAUUGGUCAAACGUUCCUUCAAAAUAGUAAUAAUUUUGAGGAGCUAGGCACUCACAAUUCAGAAUAUUUUGUGAUCCUAUGGCUCUCUUCUAGUAUAAAUAAUCGAAUCAUACUACGGCAUAAUUAUAUUAUUAUUGUUAUUAUUUUGGUCCAUGAUUUUAUAUUCUUUAAAUCUAGAUUGAAUCUCAUCUCAAAAAUGAUUUUGAUAUGAAAAUAUCAUAUAUAAUAGGCAGUGAAGUGUUUAACCUCUCACCAAAAUGUUCUACUCUUUUCUUGUGCUUAACGGGGAUAAUGGAAAUUAGGCGUGUCCUAUUUAGAAUUGAACUAAUUAGAAUGGAAUUCCUAUUCUUCUUUGUGCAGGAAGGUUUAUCUUCAAUUGUUAACAAUGAUUAGAAGGAAUUAAAGAGAAAAAGAAAAGGCAGUGAAGUUAUCAUCAGUUAAAGAUUUUCAAAUUGAAUUAUGUUAUUUUUAUUCCUAAUGUGCACAUGAGAGUAUCGAUUUCGAUGGUGAUAUUGCUUAAGUUAUACUUCAACACUGCACGCGCAUAAAAUUGUCUAAUCUAUCUACAGUUUAAAUAAUACACAUGAAAUAUCACAGGAUUAUGCCACCUGUGCAGUUGCUUCUCACUCUCACAAUUAUAUGUAACUAGAAAAUAGAACCGCGUUUCACGCGGCUUUGAAAAAAGAAUUUAGUAUUAUCCUUUUUUCUUACUUUACACUUGAUAAAACUGAUAAAAAAUAUGAAUUGAUUUUUUUUUUUUUAAAUGAGGCAGCCUUAUAAAAAAUAAAAAAAGUUAUUAACCAGCAAUACAAAUAAAGAAGCAACACAAGAUAAAGAAUAAAAUGAGAGAAUAUAUUAUACAAUGAUUUUAUUCAUUACAAUUGUGUGUGUACAAAACAAAAAGAUGAGCUCUCCUUUUAUAGUUACAUAAUCACUCCAUGAAAUUAAUGAAAAAUUAUGGAUCAUAAUUCAUUGUGAGAUAGUGAGAGUUAUAGGGAAGCUAAAGGUUGCUAAUGGGAGAUAGUGGGGAGACUAAGAGAUAUAUGUUAUGAACAUCUACAUUUAUUUUAAUAAAUUCAUAACACUCCCCCUUGAAUGUUUAUUACAAAGAAUAUGCUUCAUUAAAAUCUUUACAUAAUUGUUAUUGUGUAAUAACAAUCAAAUUAAUUAUGAGAAGAUGAAAAGCCAAAUCUAAAAGAAAAUUUUUCUAUUUAUUAGAUAAUAGAGAAUAUACAAAGAUGAGAAAUAGUGAUGCCACAUCACCUCCUCAAGUCCCAACUUUAUAUAUAUACUAGAAAAUAGAACCGCGUUUCACACGGUUUUGAAAAAAGAAUUUAGUAUUAUCUUUUUUUCUUACUUUACACUUGAUAAAACUGAUAAAAAAUAUGAAUUGAUUUUUUUUUAAGAUGAGGUAGCCUUAUAAAAAAUAAAAAAAAAGUUAUUAGCCAACAAUACAAAUAAAGAAGUAACGCAAGAUAAAGAAUAAAAUGAGAGAAUAUAUUAUAGAGUGAUUUUAUCCAUUCCAAUUGUGUGUGUACAAAAUAAAAAAAUGAGCUCUCCUUUUAUAGUUACAUAAUCACUCCAUGAAAUUAAUGAAAAAUUAUGGAUCAUAAUUCCUUGUGAGAUAGUGGGAGUUAUAGGGAAACUAAAGGUUGCUAAUGGGAGAUAGUAGGGAGACUAAGAGAUAUAUGUUAUGAACAUCUAUAUUAUUUUAAUAAAUUCAUAACACCCUUGGAUGUUCAUUACAAAGAAUAUGCCUCAUUAAAAUAUUUACAUAAUUGUUAUUGUGUAAUAACAAUCAAAUUAAUUAUGAGAAGAUGAAAAGCCAAAUUUAAAAGAAAUUUUUUUAUUUAUUAGAUAAUAGAGAAUAUACAAAGAUGAUAAAUUGUGAUGCCACAUCACCUCCUCAAGUACCAGCUUUAUAUAUAUAUAUAUAUAUAAUAUAAUAUGAAUUGGAUUUAAUUGUCCACAUAGCUGGCACUUUAAAAUAAUAAUUUUAGUAUGACUAGUGGCAGACUUCAUCAAAUAUUCCCUAAUAUUUAUGUUUUUUUGAAUACCUUAAAGCAGAAAUGAUAUCAAAGUAGCUUUUCCUUAAGAAACACAAUAUGCUCAAGAAACUUGACCACACUUUAAAAAGACGAUUUUCCAAUCAAACCCACAUAAUAUGACUUAAAGAAGUAAGGCCCUCUUUUUCUAAUUGAGUAGCAGCUAUAAGUAUAGGUUCCUAUUUACAAAAAAACAAAAAGUGGAAACAUUUUGAAUCUUUUCCAAUGACUUAUAGCAAAGGGAAGCUUAGAGAAUUGCCCUACAAAUCUUAGGAGACUAGUGAUGGAAAAGAAAUUUUGAAGAUUUUGACAAGAACCCAUUACCAGAUAUAAUUUUUUGCUUUGUUCCUUUCUCAUUCUACAAAUUCAUCCAUGUUUCACUUUCUUUCAUUCCAUGGUUUUAUUCUCUUCAUCAAAUAAAGGCUAAAAUGAUUGUAGCGUUUGAGUUGGUCCUACAAACUUUUUGACACAAACAACACAAAUCCAAUCACAAUUAAUGGAAUAUGGUGCUACUUUUAUGAAGGUCACAAGGUCAAGGUAAAGAAAGGAUGUAGGCUCCCACAAAAUAGGAACACUUUGCCCCACUUUUUAGUUUUCUUUCUUAUUGGAAAUUGAAAUUAUGAUUUAUGGUAUGCCAUGGGGCAGCUAGCUGGCCCUGUGAAUACAGCUUAUGUUAAAUUCUUUUAUUGAUAACCUAUAGUGAGUGAAUCUAAACUGUGUGUUUUGCUCUAAUAUAAUUCCCAUUAGUUAAAAGAAAACACUAUCUUUGACUGAAUAGCACCGUUAUAUUAGCUUUAAGGUUAAAUAAUUGAAUUACAUGCUUUUCCUGUUAAAGCUUAAGUGUCUCAAAAGCCAAACAUUUUGGGGUGAGUGUGCAAAUAAUAAAAGCUAGAGUCAAGUUGGAUUGUCUUAUCAAUCCUUCAUUGCUUUUAUGUUGAUAUUAAACCCAACAAGGCUAUGCUGGCCCAACCUGUUAAUCAGUCGUCCAGUUAAUAGUUUUAUACUCAUUUAGUAGAUUGAGACAUAAGCAAACAGCAAAAAAAAAAAGAAAAAAAAAAGAGAGAAUUAUUAACCCUAACCGGCUAACCCCAAUGGAGAUAUUGAAACAAUAAUUAUGAUUUAAAACAAAUAACUAAAGGUAGGUGUAAAUAUUGCCCCCAAGAGUUUGGCAGAAUAGUUUUCAAGCAAUUUUCUUUAAAAUGAAGAUGCCAUUAACAAACAAAAAAAUACAAUUUUUAAUGUAUUGAAACAUUUUUUUUUUUAAUUUAGUGUUUAAGUGAAGAUGUGCUCACUCAUAUAUAUAAUUUCGAAAUCUAAGAAUAGUUUGAUAUGAGUUGGUUUUGAGGCGAAGUGUCAGGUAGACUUACCUAACUUGAAAGAUUGACAUAGUGUAAUGAUUAAACAUUAUAAAUAGGCUUAUUUAAUUAAAUACUUAUGUUUACUAUUUUAAAAAAAAAAAGUAAUGCUAGGUAUCUUAACAAUUGAGUCCUAACUGAUGUAGCAUUCAUUUAUUGAAUGGUAGAAUACUAAUUUUAUUUAUUAUAAAAUUUAUUAUCUAAUAGAUAUUGAAUAAUAAUAUAGCCACAAACUCUUAUACAAAUUUAUUUUAUACAAACUAAUGUGGCAUGAUAAAUUAAUUGAAUUAAAUAUCUCUUAGUUCAUAUGAAUUAUUUUUAUUAUUUUAUAUUUUCAUUCAACCAAUGAAUUAUUGCUAAAUCAGUUUGUACAAAAAUAAGUUUAUACAUGAAUUUGUGACUGUAUUAUCACUCAUAUAUGUUAGUGGAUUAUGAAAUUUUCUUUCACAUGUGUACUUUUAUGAAUCAAUAAAAAAAUUAACAGAUAUUGCUUCAAUAAAGUAGCAUACAGAUAAUGAAACCGAAACUUGAUAUUUUUAAGAAACUAAUUAAUUAACAUCAAUGAAAUUUUAAAAUAUUUAGAAAAACAAAUUCCAUCAUAACAUUUUUUUAAUGUAAAUGAUUGAAAAUCAAUUCAAAAGAGAAUGUUUUUAAGAGUUUGAACCCCACAAGAAAGGGAUGAGACUGCGAUUAGACCAUAAUUCUCCUUUCAAAACUACAACUGGAGAAUGCUUUUAUGGUAAAUUGCCUUAAACGAGAUACCAAAGAUUUUUUAGGAUAAUUCGUGCUCGCAAGGUACUUUUUUCAAUUUUUUUUUUCCUUUAGCUCUAGAUAUAAGACUAAAUAUUCUAAAUAUUAUUAAAAAAAAUUAAUUUUAUCCUAACUGAGGUGGUAUUUGUUGUGUCUUAUUAUUUAGUGAAUGAUUUUAACCAAUCUUUAAAUAUAAUUUAUUAAGCUAUUUAUAACCCACACAGGAUUUUUUUAGAUAAACUUUGGGAACCACCAUUUUAAUUCUUACACUGUCCUACAUCAGUUUUCAAAUAACUAAAUUAUAUGUUAUAUCUUGUUCUUCAUAAUUUUCUUCUCCUUUUUAUCAUUUAGAUUGUGAAUAUUUAAAUCUCUUAAAUUAAGUGAGAACUUUCGGCAAGCUAUCUUAAUUUGCAAGUCACGUACAUAGCAAAUGGACCGGGCGGGAGCCCAUACCUUUUAGGGGGCCGAGGCCCUUAAAAGCCUAGGAUUCAGAGUGGAAUUAUUAGCACCUCCUCUUUCAAAAUCUCUUCAAACCAAGGCCUUCAUCAUGUUAAAACUUAAAAUGUUGUGGCCCCAAUUGGGAAGCAUUCAAAGCAUGCAUGCAAAUAAUAUAAAAUAAAGAAUUGAAGCUAAAGGGGUUUAUUGAAAAUUGACAUAUAAAGGAGAGAAUUUGCAUGGUUUUCUUCGGGUGAUAUCUGAUGGUUACUGAUUACAAACGACAUGCCCUCUCUUUAUAUAGUAAACGAAGGAUAUUAGCUCUCAAGGGGUUGUGAUGCUAGUCUCGUAAUCGUAUCUGUUGUACACUUAAAUUUCGUAGAAUAAAACACACGUUACUACUUUAUCAAUGGUGAAUAGACAUAUCUCAUAACAUUACAAAAAAAAAAAAAAAAAAUGAUCAAUUUAAUGACACCCCACUUUUUUUCCGAAAAAACCCUAAUUAAUACAUAAAAUGUUGUUCUUAUAUCUCAGAAAUGAUGGUAAAAUUCUUAUUGCUAGUACUCUUUCUUUAUAAAAAAAAAAAAAUCAAUUUAUAGAUUAUCACUAAAUGACACAUGACACAAAAUAUUUUAAAAUUCACAAGAAUUCAAAUUAAAAGAGAAUCUCAUCUUUAUAGUUGGCAAAAUGAGUUAUCGGCUCGUGUUCGUAUCAUGUCAGCUUCCUAUCUUGUCAAAUUUAGAUCGACACAAAUACGACUCAUUUAAUAAUUGUGUCAAAAUAUUGAGACUCAAUCUAACACGAAAAAUAAAUAGACUGCCUAAUAACCCAUUUAAUAUCUACAUAUUUAUCAAAAUUUACAUCAAACAUUUACAAAUACACAAACAUACGCACACCAAACUAUUAUACAUUUACAAUAUUUAAGUUCUAAAUACAUAUAUAUAUAAUUUUAUAAAUAAAAUACUAUGUAUAUGUUCAUCCCUCCAAAAAUAAAAAAUAAAAAGAAAGAUUCAUGUCUAAUAUUUGAGUUUAAUGACAAAAACUGAGAAAUUAAUUUAAAAUACAAAAUAUAAUGGUGUCAUUAGUCAAGUAAAUAAGUUAAGAACUUUAACCCUAACCCAACAUGAAAAAAAAUUAUCAACUCAAACCCGACGCAUUUAAUAAAUAAUAUCGUAUCAAAUUUGACGACCUAUACACAUUUAUUCAUGUCGUAUUCAUAUCAGGUAAUCGAGUUGCUAAUUGUUCGUAGAAAAUGCAACUUGGUUGCUAAUUGUUCGGUUAAUUGGGUAUUGAAAUGCUAUGAGUUAACUAAAUUGGUCGGAUGAAUUAUUAAGUUUCUUGCGUAUAGAUACUUUUGUGCAUUUAUUAAUUUGCAGGUCUUUGAUAGGAAACUAAUGGAUUCUGUAUUCAGAAGAAAAAAAUGGGCAUUUUUCUUCUCUGCACAUUUUAUUCAAGUAGUCCAUUGCUACAAAAAGAAUAAAGAACCUAAAAUACGAGGAAUCGGAAGCAGCAGACACAAGAAAUUUAAAUCAAAGAACUAGUGAGAAUACCCCACAGGCCCUACAAAAAUUUAUUUGACUGAUAAAAGAAAAGAAAAAAAAAUUUACAUAAAAAUAUACUAACCCAAUUUCUAAUUUCAGCCUUGCAGGAAGAUGAAGGCUCCCCUGCCAAAGUCGGAAAAAUACCCGGCCUGAGAACCCCAAGAAUCGUCAGCACAGGUUUCCCCAGUUUGAGGUCUCCUGCACAAAGAAUAAAAAUGUGUCCUAAACUUGGUUAAUUUUUGCCGCUGCUCCCUGAAUCAAUCUUCUGCGUGUUGGUCUGCUUGUUGUUUGAACCCCAUUAGAGAUAAAUGAAGUUAGCAAAGUCAGGUUCUAGAUGAUGCGUGUGAAAGGAAAGGCUGCAAUCUAAACUUCAAUCUGAUCUAUCUGAUCCUAUAAAUGAUGGGCCUCUGACUUUGAGGCGUUUUGGCCCCAUCUCAAUAGGAGGUGGUUCCCUUGGAGCUUUUCCACACUCAUGCUGGAACCUUUCUUUUCUGCAGUUCUCUUGCUGUCUACUAUUCGCUUCCUCAUCGGCCAACUUCUUAAAUUUAAUAGAAAUAGGAACGGCACCGCCAACUCUGGCAAACCUGUCCUUCGAACCACGUUCUGACGUUUCUUUAUAGUUAGAGGUAUGACUGCUUUUAUGGUUAGAUUCGUCAGUUCUACGAAACUCUGUCAGCAUCAACUGACCACAUCUUCCUUCAGGUUGGAGUUUCUUUAAUCGCUUGAGCCCCUGUAGUUAUGAAUACAUGUAAGAACAUAUUUCUCUAUUAUCAUAUCUCAGACAUCAUAAUUCAAGCUGAGAAUGCCACAAAUAAUACCUGAUGUUCAGUAUGUGUUGAAGACGUGACAUCAUUCAUACAUCUUUUAUCCACUUUUGAUGGACGACGCUUAACCCUAAAUAUCUCUGAAUCAGAAUCAUCACUGUAUUGAUUCAUUACAGCCCCAACCUCUGAUCUGUGAAAAUUGCUGCCAUUGGCACUCGGGCAUUCAUUACAAGUUUGAGAAGAUUCAUAUGUGGUACGUGAUACUUCUUCAGGGGAGUUUUUAACAGCAAGAAUCCCUAAGUUAAAUUUAGAUUGCCACCGCACCUGCUCAGGAAGAGAUAACUCAAAAAUUUGCACUCAGAAAAUUCUUACAGUAAAUAUUUUAGUAGUUGGUUUUUGGUUCAGGAGAAGUUUGUAUGUACUAUCUACUAUGUACGCGUGAACAGAGAGAGAGAGAGAAUAUCAAGCAAAACCACAUUUAACAGUAAGGAAGCCUUCUUACAUCAUUAUUGGCUGUGGAUGAGCUUUCGAUUGGCUUUACAAAAGAACAAAUUGUUGAUGCUGCAUCAGAAACAGAAGUUUCUGCAUGUUCAGAUCUAAAAUUUGCAGCUUCUUGGUUCAGUAUAGGCUGGAUAUGACAACUAUACUCAGAUUUCCCUGACCGAUUCCAAGUUUUUGCAGCAGGCUUAUGGUUCAACUCCAUGUUUAUCUCACAGUAUGGAGAGUAUCCAUUCUCUCGAACGCUAUGAAACAUUUUUGAGAAUGGAUAUGAAUACAAGUCAUCACUUUCAGCUUUCUGUUGAACCUCCUUUAAUAUUCCUUCUUCCUGCUCGAACUUUUUGGCUGCAGCUUCCAUUUCUGCAAUGUCAUCCCUUAAGAAAAGUGUAUAAGUGCUCCCACAUGAGAAGUCAAGAGACUCGAUAUCUGGAAGAGGCAAUUAAGGUUCAUCAUAGUAUCCAACUAAUUCAAUUUCUAGCAUAAAGAACAACUCUCAAGUAUAACAUACCAUGACGGAGGCACACUGGAUGCAAGUAACAAUUGCAGUUGAGGUAGGCAAUAUAACAGUCACGUUUGCAUAUGCUGCACACAACGGUUCCAUGAUAAUUUGGAGAAAUGCCGGUGCAUGCCCUUGAUUUCAUAACCAACCAGCGAGCACGAUGCUGGAAACGCAUCAGAUUCACAAAUGAGACCUUAAUGCAACGGUGAGAGACCAAGUCUGCAGAUGAAUACUCCAAAUCUUCCAGUACCAGACUCGUAUACAGAAGCAUUGCUUCUUUACACAAAAGCUCUUCAUGAGGAAGCAGAGGUAUCCUGUUCAGAUGUGCAUAACGCCAGCUGGCUACAGCCCCCAAGGGGAACCAAUCACCAAUUGCAAAGUUCACAGCCUCACCACAGUUGAAACCUACACGUACACAAAAGAUAGAAUGAUAAUUGUAAUUAUGGUAUCACAGACAUGCAUACAGAAACAAUAUUUAUGAGAUUUCCUACUAGAACUUUUUCAUCAAUUUCCUUCCUGAAGCUGAAGAUGUAGAUAUCUUACCAUGACUGAAUCCAGCAUGAUAUGCUCUGGGGAAAGUAAUGAUAAACUCUCCAGGCUUUUGAACAGCUUUAUAAACAGGGACAUCAUUUUCUAAUAGAAUAUUUGGAGGAAACAGAGUCGUUUUUCCAAGAAGGACAUCGAAAGCUCCAUCCUCCCCAUCAGUUGAUAGAAUAUCACGGGUGUAGACAUGCUCCCUGACCACCUUUUCAAAUUUUAAAGCUGCCUGACCCGGAAUCCCAUACCAAGUUUUUGAUGCCCCACAGUGAUGAUAAUUAAUACUGCCAGAAUAAAUAUAACAGAUAUAAAAGGGUAUAGAUCAUUUUUGCCAUAAAAGGAAAUAUAUUGGGCGUGCUUAAACUUGAAAACAGGAAUAAAUACCUAUACAAAUAAUGAUCUUCCACAUGCCAAGCAAACAUGCUAAACAGCAUUCCAAUGUAAAGCAUUGGGUCAGUUAUUCCCUGGAAUAAACUAUAUAUGAGUAUGGAGAACACACUUUGUACAAAUAGUAAGCCUGAAAUACAAGGAAAUAUCAUAAUCUCACCGGAAUCACUGUGUCCAAAAGACGUAAAACAGACUUGGGCAGCCGUGAAAGAUUCUGAAAAUACACGGAGGAACCGGAAUUAGUCAGUUUAUUGCAUGGGAUGCAUGAAAGACAAUCAUAAUUGUAAAAUUGGCCCAAUAAUAUUUAUGUCACUAUUAGUCAAAAAUUGUCUAAGAAUCCAAGAUUGUAGAAGAAAAAAGUACUAAACACAAUGGAAGUACAGUCAAAUAUAUAAAAUAACGAAACAAGAAUUGGAUGAAUAUGAGCAGAAGUCCUAUGCUACAAACAUUAUACUGUUCACACUAAGGCUACCUCUCCAUCCCUGGUUAUUUCUUAUUGUGUCAGACAUCUGUACUACAACAGUUCAUUCUUAUGCGUACAUAGGCUAGUAAAACAAAAUGUCCAAAUUCCAAGUUGUACCACUCGGCAAGGAAUUAAAAGGAGCAAAAUGAGCACUAGCAAAGAGAAAGAAAGAGAUAAUCUCAAUCAGCUAUUGCACCAACAAAUGACUCCACUUCAAAAUGAAUUUUCCUGGUGAUGCUAUUAAAGUAGAAAAUGAGGUUAAAAAUAAUAAUAAUGCAAUGAAAUCAACACCUUUAAAUUCCACUUGCUAUUUCCAAGAGGAUCACCCGAAGAAGAUGAAAAAGCACUACCAUCAACAUCGCAUGCAUAUUCAACAGUUUCUGUCUUUCCGCAAGCAAUUUCAUUCCAAAAUUCUUUUUCCAUGUACGAGGCAGGAAGACAACCAGCACUACAAUAUCUACGAGCAAAAACCUUGUUUGCCAUUUUCUCGAAAUCACGAAAUGUGUAAUUUCUGAAAAGUUACACUUACUCAAUACCUAGAAAAAAGUACUCAAGUCAAACGAUAUAUUUGUUAGAGUUAGAAACUCACCUGCCACUCAUAAAAAAGGUAACUUUGUCAUCAGCAUCCCAUUCAGCAAGACGAAGAGGUUGUACUCUAGUUGUGAACUUGAACCCUGCUUUCUCCUUUGUCAAUACAACCCCAGCAGGGACAGAUGCACUAACAGGAGAAACAAUCUUGCAUAUACCUGAAAGUUAAGGUGUAGAUUUGAGAAGAGAAAAAGUCAGUCAAACUAGUACCUAUAUGGACAGAAGAAAACUGGAAAAGAGUUUCAAUAUCCAUAAUCACAAACAUUGGAUGAGGUAAAUCUUCCACAGAAGAGAAAACACUGUUGCCUACCAUAUUAACCAAGAAAAUGGCAGAUAACAGAACGGAUUAAAAUAUUAACUUUUACGAGGAUAUACAAAUCAAUUUCUAUGAUUAAAGAUUUCCCAAUCUCCUAACACUCAAAGAAUUGUGUAAAUAAUAAAUCGUUUGAUUUUCAGAUAUCAAGCCUUCAAAAUGAAUACAAAUGCCCGACAAUUAUGCUUAGGGCACCCGCGGGGGGGGGGGGGCUAACAUUAUUACCCCUUUUUAAUCACUUAUACAAUUACUCGUUAAAACUAUUUGUCUAAAAAUAAAAUUAGUUCUACGAUAAUAAGACUAUGAAAAAAAAAAGGUUGUCAGAAAUUUAUUUUGAUUCAAUGCUCAAACUGUGGUAUAUAAUUGGCUCAUCAGCAUGUAAUACAGAUUCCACUAGUUCUAUACUUGAGCAUAAAUAUAAACAUUUUUUCCAAAUGGUGUCCUCAAGUUGAGGCUACUCAGUUCAUAAAUACAAAAUUUUUAGUACGCUGAAAACAAAAUCACACAAAACCAACAUUCAUUUCACAUAAACAAUAGAAGGGAAAUUACCAUAACUUGAAGCUUCUGGAGCUAUCUUCUGCAAGUAAACUAAAGGAUCCGCAAAUUCCUCCUUUGUUGGGCGGAACACAGGACACUCUGGAAUUUUCUCAGUCCAAUCCAAAUCAUUUGUGUCAAACUUAUCCACCUUGCGCUUUGAAAAGACAACUUUCCCAGUUGGUGCAGUAUUUGGCCGAGAAAAUGAAUCGGCGUUACCAUGUAAUCUAAUACCACAUGAAGCUGAAGCUCUUAAAGCAUCUCCUCCACUUCUAGACAUCAUAUUGGAGAUACCAAUAGUCUCAUUGACAGUUUCUGAUUUCAUUCGCUGAAGCUUUUUACGCUUCAAAAAUUCCAAGCCAUUUCUAGCCUCUUUUGAUAAACAUACCUUCCCUUCAACCUGUCACAAUUAAACACAAAACAAUAUUUUCAGGUUAACAAGUAUGUCAGCAGAAAUUAAAGUAGAUAAGACAACUAGAUGAGUUAAAAAAAAAAAAAAAAAAAAACUAAUGUUUGAAAUUUCUUGUAAAACUGUGCAAUACCAAUAAUAUUAGAAACAAAACAAGGAAACAACACCUUACAGAACAAAGUGCCAUAAUGGCCAACAUCACUUGUACGCUAAUUGAAAUUAGAAGACCAUUUUCUAAGAACUUUUCACCUGGGAAUUCUUCAACAUAAGAUUACCAAACAAAAUUUUGACGCAUAAAUACUAUUAAAUGAAAUCUAAUUGCACCAUAAAAAUUCUCAGUCAUAUUUCACAGAGCUUUGACACAACCAACAUUUUAUAGCUUCAGCUAACUAUGACUAUAAAUGUCCACUGCAUUGAAAGAAUCUGAGAAAUUAUGGAUGACUACCACUCAAUGAGUCAUACUGGAACACUAAAAAUUGAUUUCAGAUAGCACACAUAUGUCAACCAGAAAUAGUCGCAAAAUUCCUUGUUCUGCAACCUGACAAACCUUACCUUUGGCAUCUACAUUUAUCAUUUAAUUCAACACAAACUUAAAGUUGGAUCCAUCAAUUUUAACAAUGGGAAAAAUACAGCUGCAAACAACUCAAGUGUGUAAGACUGGAAGGAAUUUCAAGGAACUUCAUCAUCUUUAUUAAGAAUGCAAUUCAUGAUAUAAAAUCUCAAUUACCCAGAAGAAUAAGACUAAGAAAGGAAGAAGAUUUAAACCCAAAAUAUGAAUAAAUCCAAAAGUCAACCAAAGAAGACCACAUCAAAUUUUAUUUAUCGGUUUUGUUCAAGUCAAAAAAGAGUAAUUGGCUGAUUGCAGCACCCAUGUUGAUCUUUUCAGUUUAAUACAUCCAUACGUCCUCCACAUAUUUUCAACAGCAAACAAAAAUAAAUUGACUCAUCUGGGGUCUAGCCAUAUCCUUUUUCCCAAAACCCAAUAAUUUUUUUUUUCAAAAUUAAAAGAAAAUAAUAUUGUUAUCGUUAAAUCACUGCCCUCAAUCUUAUCCAAAUGGUCAAACGAUCAAAAGCAAGAACAAAUGUUCAACAAAUUAAAGAUAUUAAAGGGAAAUGGCAGCAUCUCCCCACCAUCCAUCUGGCGCCUAUGUUCAGCGAUCGCUCAGUGCAAUUCCGAAAAAGAAAAUAUAAAAUUUAAAUUUUAUAAUUAGUAUAAAAAAAAUUACAUCAGACAUCAGAAUCAAUUCAAUUGCAUUUGAAAUACAUCUACCAAAUUGAUAUAUGUCAUGAACCUUCUACUGAUUCCAUUAUCAAAAAAUAAAUAACUACAGCAAUUCCGAAACAAAUUUAUAAAAAAUGAAGGGAAAUGAAAAUACAGCAAAACGUUUAAGAAAUGGUGAUAAAAUUACAACAAUGUGUAAGAUCUGAACAGCAUAAACGAAUACAAAUUCUUAUACUUUUCAAAAAAGAAACCUAAAAAAUGGAAUUGAAAACAAAAAAAAAAGAACGAAAAAAUGAAAACAAAUGAAAGCAUGAAUCACGUACCAUUUCAUUCCGCAAUCGUUCCCGACAGGCCUCCGUCUUAACUUGCGAUUCAACGAACAGACAAAACAAGAAAAAUGAAAAACAACGAAACUCGAACCGAAUCCGCAAAGCAAACCCUAGAUCACGACCUUAUCUGUUCAGAGAUGAAAACGGAGCCUUCAACGCCAGCCACAUUCUAUCAAGCAACGUCGAAACCAAGCCAAACUUUGGAGAUCCAAUUCCUUCGAGAAAUUCGUCACGCCAAAGGAUUGAAUCGCUUGGAAGCAAUUGAAAUAGACAGAAUGAGCGGUUUCCGGCGACGGAGACAAGUUCUCGCCGGACGAAGCGGUUUUUCGACUGAAAAAGUGGUUUUCCGGCGAGAAAUUGGAAGAGAGAGAAAAAUGUGGAUGAAAGAGAGAGAGAGAAAGAGAAAGCUUUAGAAAACCGAAAAAGAGCGACGAGAGGAUAAUUUAUAGUUUUAUAGAAGUAAAAUAAUAGAUGUGCAUUAUUGCUUUUAAGAGUUAAUUUAUUUAAUUUUAAAAUGAUUAAAAGCAAAUAUUAAUUUAAUUAAAUUUAAGAGCUAAAAGCGAAGUGUGAAGGAACGAAAGUGGUGGUUGUUAGGUGGUUCAACCAAACGCCUAGCCGGCCAAAACGCGUUUUUCUCCCAUCCCGUUUCGUUUUGUUUGUAUAUUUACUAUUUUACCCAUCCAAUUCUUUAUUUUAUUGGCUGAGAAUAAAAUAUAAUAUAAGGUAUUGACAACUUUAUUAAUGGCAUUUCUGUCUACUGAAAAAGAGGGACGGUGUUAUCGAAGAGGUGUGGUUUCUAUUUCGGUCAGAGUAACGAAAGUGGCAAGAAAAGACGGAAAUAUCACGUGUGUUUAUGCCCGUAGUAUGAAUGUGUCAAAAGACUUAAUCUGACCGUCCAUUUUAAUUUAACCACGUAUCUUGAACGGUCAAAAGGUCGAUCAACACUGCGAGCCUGAGAUCCUAAUUGCGUGUACUUCUGUUCCAUCAGGCUGCCGACCUGUACAGAAUCAGUUUUACCUACCUUCAAGUUAGUUAGUCUGUUGUUUAAAAUUACAUAUCUAUCCACGGUUGGUCACCAUUUAAAGGGACAAAUGCCGAGGUUGUUUUAGACUUUUGACACUAGCAUCCGCAACGAGAGAGGGUGUUUCCCGGGAAACGUGAAAGGAUGUGACACCAAAGGGAACACGAACUAGACAAGUGGUCGAAUAAGGGAAGGAGAAAGUACACGUGGCAGAAGAACGAGGCGGCGGUUUUAGGAGUCUUGCGAAUUACUGUGGGUCGUGCCACAAUGCAAAUAGCUGGCGUCUGCGGUGGGUUUCACGCGCGUAUAUGAUGACAGAGCGUCAGGCUUUUCGCUCUGCAGAGAGAUCCCUUCCUAUGCAAACAAAAUCCGUGAAACCAGAAAUUAUAAAAAAUAAAAAUAAAAAUAAAAAAUCCGUGAAACCACAGUUGUUUCCGGUUUCAGGUAAGACUCUCAUUGUUACUAAAACGAUGAAAAGUAACAAUCAUUUUCUCAAUCUAGCAGACGUGGCAGAUUAUUAUUGGCCGCUUUUGGGUUUUAGCGUUUUAUACUUGUUACGCGGAGGUUGGUCUAAUGAUUAGUUUUCCACAGUCAGCGAAAAUGAAACUUUGGCGGCUCGGCUUGUAAAUCGAGUCAACGUUCAUACCAGUCUACGGUUCGGCUCGGCUCAGCUGCCGCUGGAGUAGUUGAAGCCGGCUCAAUCUUUGUUCAUCCGAAAAUGCUAAUUUUUUUAUACUAAGUAAAGAAAAUAAGAUAAAUAACCAGGAUAUUCAAAAUCUUUUUAAAUAAAUUCAAAAUAGAGGCCAGAGGAAAUUUUGAAUUUUUUGCCUCUUCACUUUCUACAAAAAUAGCCAUGUCAAUAAGGUCAGCGUUCCUGGUGCAAGUUACAAUGAUCUUACGUCAUCUUUAUUUUUCUUAAAAUUUGAACACACAUGACUAAUAAAAAAUAUUGAACCAAACAUUUAAAAGUAUCAUAAAGUAACAUUACACUUAAUAAUGAUAUAAAAUUUUGUUAUAUAAUUUGGUUGUGACUAUGGUACUAAGUAAAUUGUAACCCACAUCAUGGACUUCGUUAGAUGACCAAAUUUUAUCGAAUUUUGAUGAUUUCUUGAUUGUUUAACGGUGUUGAAGAUGUGGGGUAAUGUGUCAUAGUUACACUCAUAUAAUUGUUAUGACAUAUCUAUAACAAAACUUUGUACACCAUCUUUAUAAAGUAUUGUAUUACUGAUAAAUUAAUAUGAGAUUAUCUAACGUACCAUGUCGUAAGUCUAACUUUUAUUUUUUUAUUUUUUUUAUUUUUAUUUGUGUGUAUGAAAUCAUAAGUCAAUUUCAACAUACAUUAUAAGUAAUUGAUGAAUAAAAUUUAAGCUUUUGUUGUACCUAUAGGGUACAGUUCCUCAUAGAUUAGGCACUAUCAAAUGUUCAGAUUUUGUUAACUUUUGUUGACUUUAUUUUAAGUUUUUAACCAUUUAAUGAUGCUCAGGUCAUGGGAUGAAGCGUUAACAUUUGUUGGCUUUUAUUUUGAGUUUUUGACCAUCUAACAAUACUCAGGUUAUGGGACGUCGUAGUUAAAUCCUAAAAAUUAAAUAACAUAUUCUAUAUAUUAAAAACUUAAAAUUUAUUACAUAUUUAGGAUAAUUAAAGUCAAAAUACACCAUCGUUUUAUUUUUCAAAACGAAUAAAACAUUCUUAACAAAUCUAUAGUUUAAAAAGUUAAAUGACAAAAAAAAAUUAUAAAAAUAAUUUUCAUUAAACAGUUUAUAGUAUUAUAAGCAAAAUACGAUUCUCGUGAAUCAAAUUAUUAACUUAAAAAAAUUUGGUUAAAGAAAAGCAUAUUUUUUGUGAAUCGCAUUGUUUCGGCUUGAUUUGCUUUUAUCCUUUUCUUUCGGCGGAUAAUGGAAGCAACAAAUCUUGGCUGCCGAAAUAUUCUCGGCAUGAGAGGACAAAGGAUCCCUUUUUUUUGCCCCCCCAAAAAAUUUCAAGCAACUUCCCCUCGAUAAAGGACACUUAUUGAAUGGUGAAAAUUUGUUCAGCCACCCCUCAUUUUCAAGGCUACCCUACUUUGCGUGUAAGUUUCAGAUAGAGUAUACUCGCCUCCACGUGCAUCUCUUUGUCAAGUUAAGGGUACAUUUGUAAUUUCAUUUGACAGAGUACAGCUAAGAUCUGCUUCCGGAAACUUCGGCAGUAGACGAAAAUGCCAGGGUGAACAGUGCGAAAUCACAUUAAUGCCUUCGGUUGGCGUACGUUUUGAGUUCCGCGUCCCUGAAUCUGAAGAGUACAGAAAAAUAAAUAAAUAAAUAAAUAAAAAGUAAAAAUGUUCUUUUUCUUUGGACCACUUAAAGAGAAAAGAAUCCGGUGCGAUAAUUACUACACUGGGCUCCAUUUCUAACCGUUCGAUCUCUCUAACAGUGUAAGAAUACUAAGAGCAAGUAACGGUUCUGAUGGUGCCAAACGAUUGGCUUUGAAAAUCUUUCUCCUAAACCUAAAUUAAUAAUGGAUUUAAUUUUUUUUAAUAAUUGUGAAAAGUAACGAGUAAAGCAUUAAAAUUAAAAUAUAAAAAAAGUUUUGAUUCCACAUGAUUCUUUUAUUACAAACAUUAAAUUGGGUGUAGGUCGACCCAUUCAAUAGUGUCAAUUGAUUAAGGUAUAUUAUGUGUUGGGACAAGAAUUAUGUAUAACAAUAUAUUUUAGAAAAAGCUUCAUUUUAUUCCUUAUUUUAUUCUUUGGAAUUUUUUUCUUUCCUUUAAGAUUUGCGUGUAUUGAAAUUUUAAUUUGUACUCCCCUCUUCUUCUUUUUUUUUAAAUACUAUUAAUUUCAGACGUUGCGUUAUAUUGAGUUGAAUUAUAAAUUUAAAUGUUUAAAAAAUAUAUUUUCUAUGCAUAUAUGUUGGCGCAUACAAUAAUAUAUUUAAACUCUACUCACAUGCGUGAGAAGUCAUAAAUCAAAAUGAUACACUACUUUAUAAAUUAGAAUCUCUUGUUUGUGCAAUUUUUGACUAAAAAUACAAAGUCCAAAUAGUCAAAAGGUUCAACAAAUGAGUGAUUUACACCAUAGACACCGAAUUGAAGAAGGUUCUUUAACAGUGAGUGACUCCAUCAUUUAUAUCACCACCACCACCAACAAGAAGCAACAAACAAUAACAACAAAAGCUAAAAAUGGGUUAGCAAACGUUUAACUACUUAAAAGGGACGUGAAUUUUUAAAGCACCAAUGAAGUUGGAAAACAAAUUAGGUGUGAGACUUUUGCUUUUUAAUGAGAAUUUUAAGUCCAACUAAGUCUAUUAAAAGCAAAAGCCAAAAAGAAAAAAAAGAAAGAAAAUUCACAUUAAAGUUAGUAGACCAACAUAUAUAUUUAUAUGUCUUAAUUUCUAGUUAUUUUUCAAAGGCUAAGAAAAUAAAAUAAAAUUGGUGAUGAUGUGGAUGUUAAAAAUUCUACUUUUGGAAAUAAAAAAAUAAAUGUUAAAUUUAUAUUAGAGAACAAGCGGGGGUAGAUACCAUUUUGGGUUGACCAAGUUGGCAGUUGGUAAACAAGGCAACCAAACAGUCAUCGUCAUCAGCUAAUGAUUUGUUUGGCUUCUGGCUAAUUGUGCCGAUUAAGUAAAAUUUUAGAUAAGAUUAAGUUAAAGUUAGAAUUAAGUUUAGUGAAAAAUUAGGAAUUUUUUUUUUCAUUAUAAAUUUUAAAUGAAUGAAUAAAAAUUAGUAAUGUCAACCAAAUAAGAUAUCUGCAAUUUCUAGUGAUAUAGUUUGUUGUUGGUUAGAAAUAGAUUUUGUUUGUUUGGAAAAUAUUUUAAAGAAAUUAUAUAUGUACCUUAAAAAAAUAAAAAUAAAAAACAAAAAAACAAAAGAUACGGGACCUACUAAUUUAGUAAGAAGAUCUCUUUAAUUAGAUAAGAGAUUUGUGUUUGAAUUUCAAUCAUAAUAAGUUAAUAACUUCAAAAAUAAAUUUAUCUAAACAAGAAUAUAAGAUAUUAAUUACGAGUUGAAUUUUACUAAAAAUUUUGUGAUUUAAAUAUUAUUGUAGUGGGUGCUAUUUGGCUCUAUUAGUAAAAUCUUUUAAGCAUACAAGAGAUAUGGGGUUGAGACUCUACCUACUCACAUGAGUAGAAAAGAGAUUCGGUUGCCAUUUUACUAUUUAUUAAAAAAAAAUCAAAAUAAUGAAUAAAAAGAAGAAAUACACAUGUUAUAUAAGUCUUCUUCUUUUUUUUUUUUCAAUUCUUUAAAUGUUCAAGAUUUGGGUAAUGCUUUGCUCGGAGUUGUAGUAUUGUGGUUUGGGUAAAUAUAGCUUUUAAAAUUUAGUUUAUUAUUUUAUUUAAACAAAAACAAUCAUUUUAAUUCCAUAUUAAUAUCAUCAACCACUUAAUGAAUAAUAUAUCACAUAUCACAUCAUUUAUAAUAAAAUUUAAUAAUGUCUAUCAUUAUUCUGAUAAUAAUAUUAUACGAUAACAAUUAUAAAAUAAAAUCAAACUUAACUUAAUUUUUAAUAGCAUCACAUGUACAGCAUUGGAUCCAAAGCCGUCCUUGGAAUCAAAUGAAUUUUGUUGUUUAAUAGUUCGUGUGCGUCACAUUGUUGUGAAUGGCCGAUUCAUUCAGGAAUCUUGGCUUUAAAGAAUUAGCAGCAGUGUUGGUGCACUCACUCUUUCAACAUUAAUUAAUUAAAAACUAAUCAAUCAUACAACCUUAUCUUACCUACUAUUCCUAUAUCCAAUUUUUUUUUUUAAAAAAAACAAAAUGUGUUAUCCGAUUAUGAUCAACAACAAUUAUAGCACUAAUUAAAUUCUUUAAUUUAGUUUUGGGAAUCUUGAUUGAUGAUGGCACGGCAAAGUGCGAAUGCAGGUGAAUACAAAAAAGAAUUAAUAUAAAAUAAAAUUAAAACCCACUUUUGCCUGAAAUAAUAAUUGUAAAAGUCGUACAAAAGUGAAACAUUAAUCCACCAAUAAAAUUGUUACAAAUUGAAAGCUAGAUGUGAUGUUAUACGAUCAUCAUCAAAUUGGUUAAUGGUGUCUUAAUCAGCACCAUCAAGAAUUAAUCAUGUCUCUAGGCCACGGACAAAAGGAUAUGCAAACAUAUGCACCGUAAGCAAAUGAAAAGCAAGAUAUUAAUAAAGAUGGAUUUAUUUAACCUUUAUUUUUUUUUAACAUUAUAAUUUAUAAAUAACAUUAUGAUAAUUAUUAAUCUGCAAAUUAACAAUCAAUAGCUCGGCAAGUGAUUAAAUCUUUUACUUGUUAACAAGCAAUGAGAUAAAUCAUUGCGCAAGCGAUGCUUUCAAUUAAUUAUAACUAAACUGAACGUUGUGAUAAUUAGACUAAAUCAAUUAAUAAUGAAUUUAAUACUAAAUCAAUUUUUUUUAAGAAUGAUUCAAUUAUUAAUUAAUUAAUAUUAUGUAUAACUUGAAUCAAACUAUUUAAACAUUAAUUUAGUAUUUCAAUUAAAUUAAGUGAUCUUAAUUUUUUUUUUUUAAGUAUGCGGGAUUGAACCUAAAUCAUAUUUUUUAGUCUCUACCUCUCAUAAGAUUUAAUCUCGGGUAGUCAUUGAAAUAAAAUUAUUUACAAACCAAUCGGUCAAGCGUCCAUUAGACCAAACGGAUCUUAAUUAAUUUCUCAACAGAAAACAUUGAUAGAUAUUAGAUAAUCCCAUUCUUGAAAAAUAAAGAAAAAUAUAACAAUCGUCUUCGAACAUUCAUAGAUUUUUGAAAAAAACACAUCCAUCAUAUUUUCAAAAACUAUACUUAAUUGAAAAGUAUUUUAUAUUGAAAUUAGGUUUAGAAAAUGGAAACACGUCUUGAAAAAGCGCGCGUGGUCAAAAUGUUUGUGUAGACCGUAGUCUAAAUAUGAACACAUUAUCCCGUUCUUUUGUAUUAAAAGAUAUGGCUGCAUACAAAAAGCUUGAACGCCCAAUCAUAAUGUCUCCUUGUAGUAUAUGAACAAUAUUAUGAUAAUAUUCUUUAUUACCUUUUGAUUAAUAAGUCACGAUUUUAUAAGAUGACUAUUAUUUGGUCAGGUCAGAGAAAAAAGAUAAUACCCAAUUAUGUUCAAAGAUUAUUUUUUUUUUAAAAAUAAAAUUAUUUAGAAAGUUUGCUACAUGCUAAGUAGCAUAUAAUUAGGUAUUUUAGCAGCAUUUUUGAGUAAAAUCGUCUUCAACUAUCAUUUGAUAAAUUUAUAGCUAAGUUUUUGAGUACCUAGCUACAACAUCCCUAAAUUUCUUAUCAAUUAAGUAUUAUAGUGGGUUACAAAAAUUUUGUACCCUAUGUUUCUUUGUGCUUUAAUUUGUCUAGGCACCCACCAGAAUGCCACUGUAGAAAUGGGGAUAAAGGAAGAACAUGAGAAUUAUUAUGUCUUAAUAGCUAAGUACACAUUAGACAACAAGUUUUGAGUGCCAUUUUCUUUGUUGCCUUGUCUAGAGGAAAGAUAACAAAUCAGCAAAUAAAAUUAAAUGAAAUCAACUAGCUUCUCAUCCGCUUUAAGUUAUGAUGAUGAUAGUCUUGAUUCUUGAUGUUCCUUCUAAAUCAAAUUGAUUGAUGCUCACUUGUUUGCGAAAGCCAUAAAUAAUUUGGAGUAUAUGAAAAUGAUAAUUUUAAUUAAGGUGCAUUAUAACUAAUCAACCUACGUUUUGAUUAAUACCUUUAUAAUAUUAUUGAAGUGUUUUUUUUUUUCCCUUUAUAGAAACUAACAAAAUAAUUAAGGGUCCGACCACGGUACCUUAGGGGUAUUGUACCCCAUCUCAUGAUUCUUUUUAUUGUGAGAUGAUCGAAAUUUUAGCAAGAGUAAAAAGGUGUGUAGACUAUCGGUCGCAAUCACAACCCCUAACUGAUGAAGAUAAUAAAAAGAAGAAAAAAAAAAGUGCUUUCGAUGUACACCCUCCUGCUGAAAUUUUUUCAUGGGUGGUAUUUUUCUCAACUAACUUCUUAAAAAACCAAACAUGAUAAGAAUCUAAUGAAAAAUUUAUACAUUAGAAAUACUCAAAAUUUUAUACGUAAAUUAAAGUUUUAUAUAUAAUAAAUACGUGCAUAUAUAUGAAUUUAUUUUAAUAUAAAAUUAAAAUUCGACAUUAAAAUUCGGGAGGAAUUUAUAACGUUGUAAACAGACUUUUAUAAUGUUGCAAAACUGUGGAAAAAAAAAUUUUUAGUCCCGAAUCUAAAGCUGACUCCCUAGAUUAGAUUGUAUGUAUAAAAAGAUUGAAUAAGUUGUAAUCAAUUAAUUGUUGUAUAUGUGAACAUUGAAUACUUCAACAAUUUGACCAACUUACCAAAUGUCAACCCUAACCCUGAGAAAAAAAAAGUACACGUUCACACAUGUAUCGGCUGAGCCGGACAAAACCUAAAAGCUCAAAAUCGAAGUCCCCCGAAGCUACAAAUUUCAUUUUCACAAUGCAUGCCUGUAAUAAUAAUAGCAAAAAAAAAUUUUAGAUCCCAAAUUUCAAAGCAUGCAUGCAGACAAAGUACAAAACUUUUUUUAUUUAUUUAUUGGGUUUUCCUUAAAGAAUAAGCUGAGCAGAUACGACCACCGCAGACGCAAAAACUUUCAAGUCAAUUUUUCAACCCAAAAAAUAGCUGCUGUAAUUGAGCGGCGACGCGUAAAAAGCUUCGCAAAUAAAAAGCAGUCCAAAUUAUUCACGCCAUUGUUUACUCGGGAUUUUCUUUUGAGAAUCUUGAAAGAGUCAAGCGGCAAAGUUUCACAUCGUUUGACAGUUCAAAUCCAUGACCAAAUCUAUGACUAUGACUCACGCAUGACUCUUUAAGUACUACUCUUUUUUCUUUUCACAUUUGUCGUUAAUUAGUAUAUAAAAUGCCAAUUAAAAAUCUUUCUAGACCAGAUUCUAUUAACUCAACAAUGAAUUGUAAUAAUAAUGGAAAAAUCCACAACAACCUAGAGAUGGGUAUUGUGUCAAGUUGUGAUAAAUUUUAAAAAAUGAAACAAUAAAAAAAACCAACCGCUUGAGCUAUCAGUUUAUAAUACACUAACUUGAGCUUUGGUUUAAUGGUGAACCACUAUUCUCAGAGUUAAAUAUGAUUAUAAGGGUAGUAGUUCGUGUCUUUAUAGACUCAGUCUCCUUCAAUUAAAUAAAAAAUUAUAUGAGCCACUCGGCCUUUGGCCAAGUGGUUAGGGCUGCUGCCCUCCAACUUGGAGGGCAGCAGUUCUAACCCCCAAAAAUGUAUUGUGAGGGUAUUUCCUUCCUCAAUUAAAUUUGAGUGAAGGCAGUCUUCUCCCUUACCUAAGUGUGAGGAGUAGACAUCCAUCGAAUAUUUGUGAGAGUUAAAAUCUGGACAGCGCUCCAUUAACAUUGAUGUAAGUUGGUCCCAGUAAUAGUCUGAUUUGUAAAUAUCAGUUAUAGUCUCAUGUAAUAUGAGUUGUAAUUUGAGCAAUAAUCUCAUGUAAUAAAAAUAAAUAAAAAAUUAUAUGGAGUUAAUUUAUAAAAUUUUAUCCCUUACGAAAUACGAAUGAAGUAGAUAUAUCAUUGUGAGGAUCAUAUGUCUGUGCAUGUAUUUUAUAGAAUUAAUGUAAUAAAAUAAGUGCUAGUUAAUAUAAGUGUCAGUUAUAUAUAUAAUUAUAAAUAUGAGUGUAAUGUCUGAUGGGUCAGUAUUAAAAAAAAUUAUAAAAUAGUAAAAAUUGAAAUUUAUGGCUUUGAGAACUCGUGGUUGAAUGUUUUCACCUAAUGUGCUGAAAUUGACCUAGUAGAUUGAAAGGCCAGAGGAGACCAGACAUCAAAAUUGAUUUUGUUUCUAUGGGCAAAGACGAUCCCACGUGGCACUCCAAUUUUCAAAAAGUAAAAAAGCAAACGCCAAUUUUUCUUUCUUUCUUCUUUUUUUUCCCUCCUUUGCUGCGAAUACAAAAACACAUAAAGUUUGGACUUCAAGAUUAGGGUGGCAUUGAAAAGUCACCAUGUUUUCACACAACAAUUGGCUCAAAAUUAACGUAUUAAAAAAAAAAGAAAAAGAAAAGGUAACGCAAAUAUUUUAUUUCUUCAUUCAUAUUGACGAAUGAUAAGGCUCAAAAUGUGAGGCCAAAUUUUUUGGUAGAGCGUGAAAGGUUACUUAAACAAUAUUUCGCGUAUAACACGAAGAUUCUCAUUUCCUCACUUUUGUCGGUUAAUUUAUGUGUACCUUGCCACCUUUUAUUUAUUCCAUCUCACUUCCCACGUUCAUUUCAUACUAUAUAUAUAGUAUGGGAGUUUGCCAAUUUUCUCCCUACAGUAAUCAAUAUAUAUUAUUUUUUCUCAUAUUAUUUUUAUAAUGGCCAAAAACCCCCCUGAUAGUAUAAAUUUACAAUAUUACCCUUAUUUUCAACUAUUCUUUUAUUUAUAUUUAUUAUAAAUUAAAUAAAUGAGAUGAAUAGAAACUAAAUAAAAAAUUAAGCAUUAAAAACAAGAAAUAUAUGUUUUGAUAUGAGAAAAAAAUUAAUAAUAAAAUUUUUUUCUUGUACUUAUUUAUUUUGUGAAAAUUUUCUCAUAAUAAAUAUAUAAGAAAGUUUUUAUAAAAUGAUAAAAAAAUUAUUAUAAGAAAAUUUGAAUGACAAAUAAAAAUUUAUUAUAAGAUAAAUAAUAAAAUAUUUUGCCUAUACUUUUGACAUUUAAUUUUAAAAUAUUACAAAAUAUUUAUUAUAAGAAAAUGUUCACAAAAUAAAUAAUUACAAGAAAAACAUUUUAUUAUUAUUUUUUUUGCUCAUAUCAAAACAUAUAUUUCUUGUUUUUAAUACUUAAUUUUUUUAUUUAGUUUCUAUUCAUGUAAUUUAUUUAAUUUAUAAUAAAUAUAAAUAAAAGAGUAAUUAAAAAUAAGGGUAAUAUUGUAAACUUAUGUUGUGAGGGGAGAUUUUUGGCCAUUAUAAAAACAGUAAGGGAGUAAAUGGUAUAUGUUAAUUACUGUAGGGGGAAAAGUGGCAAUCUCCCUAUAUAGUAUUGAUUUGAUUCAAAAUUUUGAAUUUUAUUAAAGUUUAAGAAAAUUGUUAAACUGCCUAGUUUAAUUGUAUAAUGUUAUUACACUAUUUAAACCACGUACGGUUUAGUAACUUUUACCGUCGUUACAUUAAUAAUCUUUUCGAAUUUUAAUAAAUUUAGGACUCUGAAUUAAAACACACACAAACAUACACACACAGACAAAUAUGAACACUUUUUUUAAAUUUAUAUUAUGAUUUUUGUGGAUUCUAUGCUACGUCACCCCGCCAGCUUUUUUGUGAUAACAAAAUUUGGAAGUGGCAUCUUAUUUUAAAGUAUGAAUAUUUUAUGAAACAAAAAUCAGUUGGUUCCCAUUGGUAUGACGUGGGAAACAGACCUAGAUCCUAUCCUACUUUUUUUUUUUUAAUAUAUGAAUGUUCAGAUCGGUAUUUAGAAAGACUUCUAAGAAUUUUUAAAGGACUCACUAUUAAAUUAUCGGCUCAUCCCACCAAACAUGAUUAGAAUUCGUAAGACUCAAAUAUUUUAAAAAUUAUUGAAACGAGUGAUUUUAUGAACGUGGUACCAUAGUUAAGGUGCUGUGUGUUCGAUUUUUUUUUUUUAAAACUCAUUCGUUUAUCUUUUCGGAUUAUAUAUAGUCUCUUAAAAAAAUAUUUUAUAUUAAAUUUAAACUCUUAUUUAUCAGUUUAAACUUUCGAGUUCGGCAAUAUACUAUACUUUUUAAUUAUUAGAAAAGAUUUUCCAUUAAAUGACCCAUAAGGUUCAUCGGUGGCCAACUCAUAUGCAAUGGGUGGUUUAAUCGAGAAGGGGUAUGUGAAAUUAUUCGAAGCUUUAUUCGAAGGUAACAGCUCAAAUGAAUUGGCUUUCUCAGCAAAUGCCGCAUGUUGCAUUGCAUUGUUUGUAAGCAAACCACAACAUGAUGCUUUUUACCCGAAUUUUUGGAUGCCAAAAUUUAUUAUCCCUCGAAUGGACCGUUUUACCCCUACAAACAAUCAAAUAUUUGUUUCGGAUAAAAGGAAUCAAGGAAUCUAUUUGACUUGAUAGGUUGAAAAUUUUGUCCAAAUUGGUCUGGGCCUCCAUUGAAUAAAAGUCAACUUAUUUGGGCCCAUAUUUUAAUUCAAAUUUAUUUCCCUCAUAAUGUGUAUAUCUCAUGGAGAAAGCAGCCAUUUUUAGGCAUAUGGUAAAAUCAUCUUCAAAUGGGUUCUCUUUGUUUUGUUUUUUUUUUUUUCCUUUUUUUGGGUGCACAACUUUUUGUGUUUAUUAAUCUUCUAUGAAUUAUAAUUUCACCAAACAUUAAUUACAUUUAAGCUGUCAUAUCAAUUGUGACUCAAAUAACAAAAUAAAAAUUGAGAUCCCUAAUGCUAUUUUUUCAAAGUAUGCCUAAUGAACUCUUGAGUUAUGAUUUUAUUCACUUAAUUACUUGACUAAUAUGCUGUUGCUAAAAUUUAAUAAAAAACAAGGAUGCUGACUUUAUAUACCCCAACUUUUUAAUUCAAUUCUAUAUAGAGUAAAGCAAUAUAGAAUUGGAUAAUUGAAUUGAGACAGCCAAAAAUGGUUAAUGAUAUAGAAAUUUUCUUUCGCUCUUGACCAUGACUUAGACUUGAUCUUUUUGCUUUUCGGUUGAUUGAUUGCCAAAUGAAAGCAACGGGCAACAGAAUUAAUAAUAAGGCACAUGACAUUAAUAAUUGGAGCUGAACCGAUCCAGUGACUGAAUCUUUUCCUUAGAUGGCAUGUCGUACGUGCACUUCAAGUCUAAACAAAUAUAUCUUCUCUCUCAAUUUUCUCCAAAAAAAUGAUUAUUAGACAAUGGAUUCUGUUAGUCACAUGUGGAACGCAAAUGCUAAAUUGCUAACCUAAGAAUCUUUUAUACUUUAAGACAUUCUAAAUUUUUUUUUGAGUUAUGUUUGGUUGACUCCAGAUUACGUUAUCAUUGUAUUUACAAAAUUAAUUAAUCACCAAAUUAUUUGAUUCAAUUUUGAAGUAUUUCCAAAAAUACUAGAAGUAAACAUAUGGCCCUUGCCAUCAUAGGCUUUCAUAGGCUGUCACGUAUUUAAGACGUACAGACACUUGCAUAUGGGCCAGCGAGCUCCAUUACAGGCCAGGACAGGGCCAUUAACAAGCCCAUACAUUGUUGUUUUCGUUUUAAUGACAAAUAGUUUUUUAGUAAAUAUUAAAAUAGUCUUCUAUUAAAUCUAUUCUAUUAAAUCUAUUUUAUUUCUUAAACUCUGUUGAUAGCAGCUAUAGAAUUUUUGUUUGAUUUUAAUUUGCGAUGGCAAAUCUUUAUCCUAAAAAAAUUGAGUUUUAGUCUUUUAAAUUAUAUCUCAAUUUUAACAAGCUUUUUCUAAAGUCAUAACGUCAAUUGAUUAAAUAAAUUUUUUACCAUUGUCCAAGUUUAGACAAAGAAAUAUCGAAGGAUUUCGCAGAGACUUUUGCCGAAAAGAGAAAUAAAAAAUUUAAAGUAAAAAUUUUAACAAAUUUAGUAUUUUUUGUGCUAGAAAAAUUAAGAAGAAUAAAUGAGUGUCAAUUAUUCUUUCUCAUAUAAUUUUGUGUCUGUAGCAAUUUAUCUGAUAAUAGCCAAUUGAAUAAAUGAAUGUCAGUAAUCUUUAUAUAUAAUAAAGUGUAUCCAAAAUUAAUUUAAAUUAAAUCAAGAUAUUGGAGUCAAUUGAAAAAAGUGAGAUGGAUAUGUCUGUAGCUUUUUUAAAGAGGCUUGUCCAGCUUUAGCUGUCGUAACAGAUUCCAAAUCUGUUGGACAACCAACUUUCCCGCUUCCGCUAGGUUAAUAUACUUCUGUCUAAUUAGAGAAUGACCCCAGCAUAUUCCUAGAUUACUACAAAGCUACCCCAGUAACUUCAUUAUUUUACUAGAUGCACCCCUUAAACUAGUGAAUCACAAGAUCAUCUCUCAAAAUUGUAAAUUGUUAAUUUUGUGCUAUGUAUUGAUAUUUUUCAAUCUAACUAAUUAUCAAGGCUAUUAGUGUCAAUAGUUUCAAGUUGAAGGGUGUCAUUAAUAUAAAAUUUGGCUUGAAAAAAAAAAGGGUACUGUAUCUUGUGUGCAAGAUUCAAAGUAAAAGAUUCAAGGCUCAUAUGUUCAUCAUUUUGAGUAAUCUUGUUUUUAUGGAAAAGCUUAUUCUUGAUUUGAUCGUUGUAACUUAUUUUGAGUGGUUAAUAACUAUUAGAGCUCUCUUUUGAAGAAGCAAUCGAUCUUGCACCGAGUCAAGUAUUCAUCUUCAUCAAUUCUCAAUAUUAUGUUUAAGCUUCUGAUUUUUUUGAUUAAAAUAAAAAAGAAUUGGUUUUAGUUAGUUAAAAAAAAAAGAGAUUCAAGCAACUUGUUCAUCAUGUAUCCUAAAUUUCAUUAUCUAUUACAUCGGUACAAACAUAUUUAAUCCCUCAACCAAAAUUAUGUUUGACGUUGUGCACUCUAUGUAUUUACAAUUGUAUUCAUCCCUUAGUGGAUUGUACAACUAGUAGAUCAGUGGAUGCAUAAGUCAGAUGUAAGGACAACAAAUCUUUCCAUCUUACUCAUGUCUUUCAGUUCUAGGCUAGCUGCUUUCUUAGACAUGUUUCAUAGGCCGCAUAACCUCAUAGUCAUAGAAAAACACGCUAAAGUAGCUAAUACCAAUUUUUUCUCUUUAAGAUAUAGUCGACAGUGAUUAAGGAUACCAGUCGAGUUCUUUCUUAUACCUCAAAGAACUUAUACAAUGAGGAAGCAGAGAUUCAUUCACUCAUAUUCCUUUUGGUCAUGGAAGCAUGGUAUGCAUCACGCGUUGGAGUGAAUUCCCUUUAUAUAAGAGCAUAUGUUUGGCAAUUCACUAUACAAAUUUAAAAUUAAUCGCUAUUCGAGCGCCCAGUUUGAGUCUCAAUAAUCUCGCUUUUUUAAGGCGCCAAAUAAAUUCGUAUCUGGCUUAAUUAGGUUCUCAUCUUGAUUUAGUCAAAGCGAAUUUUUAAAAUAUAACCUAUGAGAACGUACUAAACGUACUACUACUUUCUCUUAAUCUUGUGUCUUAUUCUAGCUUACUUUUCUUAACAACUGAGGUGACCACUUGUGAAAGAAAGUUGGUCGAAGCGUAAAGACAUAUCUUUUAAUAAUCAUGUGUGUAAUCAUGCUAAUAUCAUUAAGAAAUGGAUAAAAAAAUUUAUAAAAGUAUCCAAAAGCUAAUGAAUAAAAUCUCAUCAAGUAUAACUUUAAAUCUACAUAAUCCAAAUGAUUUUGUAUGUGCGAGAUAAAUAUUUCGUGUUAUCACUUUAGUAAAUGGGUCUGCAACCAUGAAGUGUGUGGAUAUGUGUUGUAUCAACACUUUCUUUUUUGUCACAAUAUCUCUCAUAAAGUUGUACUUAGUCUUUAUGUGUUUAGACUUACUAUAGUAUUUUACAUCCUUGGUAAAGGAUAUGCCGAUAUGGCAACUUGACUAUCACAAUAUAUAGUCACAGGCUGAGGAGGACUAGUCACGAUCUCAAGAUCAUCUAGGAAAUACCUAAGCCAAAUAGCCUCUUGUACUGCGACUGAACAUGCUACAUAUUCCGCUUCUAUAGUCGAUAGAGUUGUGCAUGUUUGCUUUUUGCUACUCCAUGAGAUUACAUCACAAUUAAGUAGAAAUACAUAUCCUAAGGUUGAUUUAUGCUCAUUAAGAUCACCUUCCCAAUCGGUGUAUGUGUAUCCAAUUAAUUGUAAAUCACCUCCUUGAUAACAUAAAUAAUAGUCAACAUUGCCUUUCAAAUAUCCUAAAAUCAUUUUGACAAUUUUAAUGUUUGCGUCUAGGAUUUGAUUAGUAUCUACUCACCAAACCCACAACAUAAUAAUAUAUCUGGCCUUGUACACAUCAUAAUAUAUAUGAGACUUCCAACAAUAUUGAAGUACGAAAUUUGUGCUAUUUCGCUACAUUCUUUUAAAGUCUUUGGACACAUUUCAAGGUUAAAAGUUUUUCGUUUAGAGAUAGGGGUAUCCAUAGGCUUACGCUUGUCUAUUUUAAAUUUUUCAAGAAUUCUUCUAGUAUAAGACUCUUGUGAUAAAACUAGAAGUUUUCUUAAUUGAUUCUUAUGGAUUUUGAUUCCCAAGAUAUAAGAUGUUUCACCCAUAUCUUUCAUUUCAAAGUUUGAAAAUAAUCAUUCCUUGAUAAUUUAGACAAACUCUAUAUUAUUUCCAGCCAAUAAUAUGUCGUCCACAUAUAAUGAUAAGAUAAUAAAGUUAUGUUCACAUCUUUUAACAUACAUAUGAUGGUCUUCUUCGGUCAUGAAAAAUCCAUAAGUUGUUAUAGAUUCAUGAAACCUAAGGUACUAUUGUCUGGAGGAUUGAUUUAACCCAUAUAUAGACUUUUGAGCUUGCAAACUUCGCUCUCUUGGUCAUUGGCUAUGUAACCUUCUGGCUAUUUUAUGUAAAUUUCUUCUUCUAGUUCUCCAUUAAGAAAUGCUGUUUUAACAUCCAUUUGAUACAAUUCAAGGUCCAUGUGUGCAACGAUGGUUAGAAUUAAUUGUAUAAAUGCAAACUUUAUAAAAAAGAAAUUUCCUCACAGUCUGUAUCUUCUUGUUGGGUAUACCCUUUGCGAUCAAACAUGCCUUAUAUCUUUCAAUUGUGCCAUUCACCUUUCGUUUAAUGUUGUGUUAGAAAGUGUAUAUUUAUAAAGGAAAAAAAAUCAUUAUUUUACAUUUCAAGUCUUAUUAACAUCCUUACUUUUAUGUAUUGAAGUUUCUUGUGAUUUAAUUAUGUGUGUUUUAUUUUAAUUAAGUAUUUUAUAUAUUUUAGGGGCAUCAUAGUUAUUUCACAAUGAACGAAAGAUCAGACAACAAAACGGACAUUAGUUUUAAACUAGGACAGUUGUAAACCUUAAGAGGAACAUAAAAAGAAAAAUACCAUUGUUCACAUGUACGGUACUGUCCAUGUUACUAUUCACGACACUGUUCACAUAUACAGAUCGAUGACGUGGCAUUGACCGAUGAUGUGGCAUUAACUGACAAGGUGUUACGAUCCUGUUGGACUAAAAUUCUUAUGUACUGUUGAUCGGUGACGUGGCAGUAUAUUAGUGUGCCAAAAAUCACGCGUACGGUACAUACAUAUACACAUGAUUAUUUUCAACCAAACCGCGUUACUAUUCAAACCGCGUACUGUUGACUGAUGACAUGGCGCAAUCCUGAGCGUCCAAAAUGUUUUUAAUUCGAUGGCGAUGAUUUACUCAGUGUAUCUAUAUAAAAAAAGGGGCUCUCCCCCCUAAUUUGGCAUCCCUGAAUCUAUUUUUGAGCUCUAUUUUCUGUAAUUCCUUCUCUAUCUUGUAUUUUCUACGUAUUUUAAUAAAUUCUCAUUUUACCCCUAGUUCAAUUAUGAGUAGCUAAUUUUCUUUUAAGCUUGGGUUGAAGGUGAAGUCUCAACAUAUGCCAUGAGCUUUAUUUGGUAAAUUUACUUUCUUUUCCCCUCUAAUUAUUGUGGAUGUUUUGACUUUUCGUCAACAAAUAGUAAUGAUCUUGUCUAGAUAUCGCCAUGAUUUCACUGGCUCCCUAAUUAUUAUUAUUUGACACGAUAAGCUCUUAGCACCAUAUUGAUUAGAGUAUGGUUCAUGAGGUGUGAAAACCCCCCUCAUAUUUUAAUUGAUAUUAAUAAGGAAUAUUUAACUCAAGGUGCAUGCUAAUGCAGAUCCAAAUACCCAAGUGCUGCAUUUCAAUAGAAUUCGCUUCAAUUUAUUCUCGCCAUUUUAAUUCAAAUUUUAGGAUAAUCUAAGUCACUUUCACCACAAAUCCAACCACCAUUUAGAAAAUUAAUUCUACACAUAAUUAAAAUCAAUUUCCUCGUGGGAUCGACACUCGUCACCAUUAAUCUAUUCUACAAUAGAUUCGUGUACUUGCGAGUUCAACAAAAUUUGCACAACAUUUAACACACCUAUUUUUUUCCAAUGAUGAUGUGAUAGCCUUACUAUAAGUUCUUGGGUCAUUACCAUCAUGUGAAGCAAUCAUAAAUGCCUCUCAUUUAACCUCAAAACGACAACAUGAGAUGGGCGUACGAUUACUUUUACGAAUUGAGUGAUCUUAUAGAACAAUCCCAUCUUGACUUCCACUUGGAUUAAAAUCCUAAGAUAUAUUUAGGUUUUUCUCAAUUUAUAAUCAGAACUGUCAAUAAUCUCUAGAUCAUUCAACUCAUUUAGAUGAAUAUCUUUGUUGACUUCUAAAAUGCUAAAGAAUUCAUUCUUUAAGAAUGUGACAUCUUAUGACACUAUCUCAGUUAUAGUUCCUUCAUCAUGUUCUCCUAUGAAUACAUAUCCUUUGAAGUAUUCUGGAUAUCUUAUAAAGAUAUAUUUAUUUCUUGUUGGGCCCAAUUUCCCAUGUUUUAAAGAUGGGUUGUGACACAUGUUGCAGAGCCCCAGGGACGCAAAUGAGUAAAAUCAGCUUUUUUACCCUAUCUAUAGCUCAUAUGGAGUGUAACUUACUGACUUACUCAGAACUUGAUUGAGUAUAUAAGUAAUAGUCAACAACGUAUCUCCAUAGUAAGAAACUAGAAGAUUUGUUUGCAUUAUCAUAAACUUAACCAUCUCGAAUAAUAUUAUAUUCCUCAUUUCUGCAACACUAUUUUAUUGUGGCGUUCUAAGAAUAGUUCGUUAUCUUUCAAUACUUUUAUCAUUUUAUAUUUCCUUGAAUUUUUUUUAAAGGUCUUCACGUCCAUGGUUUGUUCUUAAGACUUUGAUCAUUUUAUCUAAUUGAUUCUCUAUCAAAUUUAAGUAUAAUCUAAAGCAAUCUAAUGCUUCAAAUUUAUGAGAAAUCAAAUAAACAUGACCAAAACAUGAGUAGUCAUCAAUGAAUGUAAUAAAAUAUAUGACUCUAUAUUUAACUUUUACAUUCAUUGGUCUACAAAUAAUAGAAUGGCUAUUAUAACUUUAUUAGUUUUACCAAAUGGUUUUCCAAUUGCUUUUCUGGCUAGAUAACUUUCACAAGUAAGCAAGUCAAUAUUAGCGAGUGAGCCCAAUAAGCCUUCUUUAUCUAAUCUAUUCAUUAUUUCUUACCCUAUAUGUCCUAGUUUAGCAUGCCAAGUAUUAUUUGAAUCAUAAUAAUUAAUAUAAAAAACAAUAAAACCAUUUAAUAAAUAACUAGAAACAACUAGAGUUGAAUUAAAAAUAAUUUUUAAAUUAACACCAUAAAAUUGUAAAUGAUAUUCCAUCCUAAGAAGAACAAUAAUAGAGAUUAAGUUUCGUUGGAUGUCUGAAGUAUAAGGAACAUCAUGGAGAUAAAGUAUUCGGCCAUCACGCAACUCUAAUUUACAAGUGUCAAUUCUUUUAGUUUUAACCCUGGUGUUAUUUCCCACGUAUAUCCAUUUAGUUCCUCGACUAAUCUGACGAUACUCCAUAAAUGCUCUAUGAUCUUUGGCUAUAUCUUGUUGCUUCUGAGUCUAUAGUCCACAAAGGAUGAGAUUCAGUUAAAAAAACAGAACUUGUCACAUAGUUACAACUUAAAUUUGUGGAGAUGAAUUGUACCAUUUUUGGUUUAAAAAUUGGCCUAAUUUGCCACAAUUGUAACAAUUCAUUUUAGUCUUGUCUUUUUUUUUUACCAGUGCACUUUCUUCUCAUGCGCUUUCCAUUGUUAGGCUUCCCUUGUGUUAGCACAAUUUUCUUUUCCUUUUAGAAAGUAUUAUUUCCUCUUUUGCACUUAAAGCCCGAAGCUAUUUGUGGCUUGGAGUUAGCCAUAUAGAAUUGAUUAGAAUAUUUAGUAGCCUCUACGCAAUCAUUUUCUAAUUCCAAAUGAGGCUUGAAAUCAUUAAAUGUCUUAAUGUUAUAUUCCCAACUAUCAGGAAAACAUUGUAUGAUUGCCUAAACAUGUUGCUAACCAGUCAAUGCAUGUUCAACAUUUUUAAGCUCACGUAUCAUGUUCGAUAUUUCCCUUAGAUGUUGCCUCAUAGUCUUUUCUAGGCGCUUUCUAAAUGAGUCGAAUUUGAUGUUGAGCCCUCUUAACUUAGUGGUCGAAGUAUCACCAGAUUUUUCUUUCAAGGCUAGCCACAUUUCAUAAGCCAUAUAGUACUCUUCGAACUCACACAUAAGGUCAUCUUACAUUAACUUAGCAAUGUAAUGUGAGCACUGCUAUUCUUUUUUUUUCCAGGAUAAAUAAGACUCAAGAUCCUUAUUGUAUUGUUCAAUAAGACCGCUCUCAAGCUCCUCAGGCUCAAUUACAGUGUUAUUGAGAGUUUCGAGAGUUUCUUGCUCCUUGAUAAUAUAUUAAACCUUUUGGUGCCAAAUGUCAAAAUUGUCAUUGUUCAAUUUUUCUCCUUUGUUCAAUUCGGCCAUACUAUUUUUUGAAGAUGCCAUCUCUUUUAGUCAUAAUAAAAAAUAGGGAAAAAAUUGUUAAUUAGCAUAAUUUUAUAUUACACACAUUUAUAAUUUUUCCGCAAACAAAAGAACCAAACAUGAUUAUUUAAAUAAGGAUUAUAAUUGAAAAGUUGUCAAAGCUUCUAAUCAUCAUCUUUUCUAAAUAAUUAAAUUAUCAUCAUUUAGUCUUUUUGUGCAAAAAUAUUUAAUUUGUUUAGAACUUUAAUGAUAAAACUCUUAUUUUAAUUUUAAGGGAUAAAAAAUCUUGAUGCAUCUAUUCACGUGAAUAAACACUAGGAAAAUUCUCAGGGAAGAGGUAGGGAUUGGAUAUGGUCCCACUUAAAUACUUUAUUUCCUUAGACUCUUAUCAUUUUUUUGACAGAAUUUUCCUUGACAUGCAUAAAUUUACAUUACUACGCCAUACUUUAAUAAUCCCAUUAUAUGUUUAAGUGUUUUAUUUUGCCUCCCACUCGAGUGAAAUAUUUCCAUAAGUAAGAUACAAAUUAUCUCCAUUUCUAACAUUUUAGAAAAAUAAAAAUUAAAUAAAAAAUCAAAAACAUAGUUAAAAAAAUCAAUUUUAAAAUGCAAAUCAAUAGAAAAUUAAAUUCUAGUUCAACUGCCGCAAACAACACCAUAAACGGAGGUCGGGAAGGAGGCACGUGCUUUACACGCAUCGCUGUCAUGCGUGGGUCAAUGCGGUCAUGCUAGUUGUGCUAAUACACGUUGUUUGGUUUGAUUUGCGCAAUUUAGCUCGGUUGGCUCGGUUUAAGGGUUCGAAUAUGCUUUAUCGGCUCGAUUAAGCUGAGCCAAUAUGUGUUGCUAAACUGUCUUCAGACGGUUUGAUGCGUCCUCUUGGCCGUGUUGUGCACACUCUGGCUUCCAACCACUUUCUACCGUCACAAAUCUAUUUUUCCAACCAAACUCGAUGUUUUGAACUCAAUUAUGGAUUCAAAAUUUUGUUUUGGCGAAUGAAUAAAGUGCACACACCAUCCUAAGAGUGAAAUUGCACAUUAAACACUAUUCAUCUUCUUCAUAUCUAAUAAUUUUUUUAGUUUGCAAACCAGAACUUGAAAUGGUUCGUUCUCUUAAUUUACAAGUCCAAAUCAAGCAUAUGAUAUAACUUUGUAAAGCUAAUUAGAAGAAUUUCUUAUAAUGCCAAACUCGCAGACAAUGAGUCAACAUAGAACAAUUUAUGAGCAAAAUAGGCAUUCGAGUUUAUAACUUAGGGUUCCAAUUACCUCAUUAUAUGAGAGCAUAUUAGCUCAUUUAAAAAUCUAGAUAUAAACCAUGUGUGUUCAUGUGUUUAUAGUUCGAAUUUCGUGCUUUAACAAUGAGAGUUUCAUUCAUGCCAUUAAUGUGUGUUCUUAUAGUGAAAAAUCAAUUUUCAUAGAAGAACAUGGCAUAUUAGCAUACAUAAUGCUCUUAAGAUUAUGACAUGAACUACAGAGGCUUUGAUACUAAUGUUGAUUUUCUAAACCAAUCAUGCAAUUUAUUUUAUCGACCAAAGUCAUACCUUGUUGGUUGAUAAGGAAACGAAUCAUCACGAAUCUGCAGGAAUAAAGAAUAGAUGCCCUCUGAUCUCCAAGAACGAAAUUUUAGGAACUUUCAUAAACAGAUCGUAACGAGCUAUGUCACUGGUGGUGAGAGGACAAUCACGGAGUUAGAAAAUCCCCUUAAUUCACGAAGGAAGAACCCACUGCCUUAUUUUUUCUUUCUCUCUCACUCUUCUUAUGAUAUUACUCUUACUCCUAUUAUACGUAUUUGCACUCACCUUUGUAAUGCUUAUAUAGUACAAUGAGUGUAGUUCAAUUCAAAUAAACUUCUUAGGGUUAUUUGGAUAAACCACACCUUAUGUUGUUAGGAUCUAAAUAAAACUUUAAGUUUAUCUUAUAAGAAUCUUAGAUAAGUUAUACAACAUUAAACUCAUCUCUCACAUUAAAUAAGUCAAUCCAUCAUAAGUGCCUAAAUCUAACAUUUAAUAUAAGUCAUGAUGAAAAAAAAAAAUCCAUGCAUCAUAGAUUAUUAAUAUAUUUAGAAUUCUUUUAUUAUUAUGGGAAAUUAUCCAUCGUCCACCCAUUUUUUCACCGUUUUUCAAAAAAAUAUAUAAAUCUUCUUUUUUUUUUGCAGCGCUCCACCUGAAGUUAACAUUUUUUUGUUGGUCAACUCUCGUUAUAGCACCGUUAGAACUUUGCUGACAUCAUAAGGGUAAAAUUAUCAUUUCAUAACGACAUAGUAGUGGACACAAAACAAUAUAACUUCAAGUGGAGUUCAGCGAAAAAAAAAAAAGUGUGUAUUUUUGAAACAAUACGAAAAAAGGUGGUCGGUGAAUAAUUUAUCUUUUAUAUUUGAGGGUAAAAAAAUCAUUUAUAUAAUAUUCCGUUAGUUUUUUAAUUGUCUCCAAACAGAAGUGGACGAGUGAAAAGAAAUGUAACUUCAGAUGGAUUUUAGUAAAAAAAAUAAUAAUUAUGUAUUUUUGAAAAAGUUGGAAAAAACGGGUGGACGGUGGAUAAUUUUCCUAUUAUUAUUAUCUUUUUCAUUUCAAAUAGUUUAUCAUGUCAAAGAAAUGAGACAAAAUCAUCAUGGGAAUGUAAAAAAUAUUACUAAAAAUCAUAACGGCAACGUAAAAACAUUACUAACUUAUAAAUUUCCUUAAAAAAAAUUGGGCUUUCAACUCAAUUGUAAUAAAUCAGUUGAGCUAAUCAACCCCACUCGUUAUUUCAUUAAAAGUUUAAAAUUAUCGAUUUUUCUCAAUAAAAUAUGUUAGAAAAAAAGGGAUAUGUAGUGUUUUUACAAAUAGUAUGGCCACCAUAUUGACAACUUCUGAAGUCUUCAAUGUGAUCGCUUUUUUUUCACUACUAGAAAAAUAGACUUUACUGACACCAAUUUAGUGUCAGUAAUUACUUCUACUAACACUUAUUAAUUGUAUCAAUAAUGGCCACGUGAGAACAUUUGUGUCACUAUAAUAUCACCAAAAUAGUGACAUAUAGUGUUAGUAUUUGAUGAUACUAUUUUUGUGUCAGUAAUUCGUGUCACUGUAUUAUCACCAAAAUAAUGACACAAUAGCGUUAGUAUUUAAUGAUACUAUUUACAUGUCAGUGAUUUAUAUUAUUUUAAAUAUUUAGUGUCAGUAUUUAGUGAUGUUAUAUUACUUUUGAUUAAUAGUAUAUUUUUAUUUUUAUUAUAUUUUUCCUAUUUGUUUUACAAUGAAAUAAAAACUCAAAAUAUAUUAAAUAUACCAAAUCUCGCAACACAAUUCACAUAAUAAAAAUCUCAAAUACAUUACUUAAAUUAAUAUAAUUCAACUACACUACUGUUUGGAAAAAAAAACAUAAGUACAAAAUUAAGUUUUCCACAAGUUCUAAACAACAACAAAGUACUAAAUUAAGUUUCAACAAACAUUAACCAAAAAGAAUAAGCACAAAAAUGUCACUGAAUAUCUAUACAUGGCUUCAAUUGUUUCCCAUCUACAAGUACAUAAAAUCAAUUAGUACACUACAAAAAAUAAGUCUUCGAUAUUUGGAAGCAAAAAUAAUCAUAAAUUAUUCAUAUAUUACCUCAUAAUUGUAGGUUGUAAUUAACUUGACAAUAUAUUUAGUCCAUUGAUCACGAAGUCGUGAGAGCUCUUUCAUUGUGUACUCAUUAAUUCCUUUGAACUUUAAUUUCAAAACAACAAAUUAUUCACAAAAAAUUAAAUUGUAAACUAUAGCUAUUCACCUAAUCUCUCCAACAAUAUGCCACAUACCCAUAUUAUUAUAACAUUAGCUCUAAGGUUCAAGAUUAUUUUUGAGGUGAAUUAUUUUACAAUGCAUUAAAACAAUAUGAUGCAAUAUUCUAAAAAUUGUUUUCGAUACUUACAUUAUUUGAAAGAAUGUUCACAUUUGUAACGAUAUCUUGAAUGUAUUUCAUCACGUAGUAAUCACAUUCAAAGCUGCUAGGUUGCCUUGGACACUACAAAAUAAAAAUUGCAUAAUUUAUUUUUUUAAAAUAAGCAAUGAUUAUUUAGGUUUGUCUCAUUUUUACCUUGACGGAGACCCAUUGAACAUUAGCCUUUGUACCAAACUUUAAAGAUUGAUGUAUUCUAAUCCCACUACAAGGAAGACAUAAUGAAUGUUAGUAAAUAAUUAAUGUAAAAAAGAAAAAUAAAAGAAUAUGAUCAGAGAUACAAAUAAGAAACUUAACUGAUUCACAAUUUGCAUCAUCUCUUCAUUAGGAUUACAAAUAAGAAACUUAAUUGAUUCACAAUCUGCAUCAUCUCUUCAUUAGGAUUACUUUCCAGGGGAUCAAGAUAAUAGACUGUGCAUCUCACUAUAUUAGUUGCGAAUAACACCCAAUGGCCGCUAAACAAAAUAAAAAUGAUUUAAAGACAUGAAUUACAAGUAAAUUUUUUUACACAAUUAAUUUACUAAAUAAAGAAUAUAGGUACCAAAUGAAAAAGAUUAUAUCCAGGGUUAUAAGUUUUGAAAUAUAUUGAGAUCUCUCUUUGAAGCGAACUAUUGUCAGAUGUAACUUCUCAAAAAGCCCAAACUGAAUUGGCUUGGCACUUCUAUUAUUCUUCAUCUCUUUAUACAAGUAUCUAAGGGAAAAUAAACAUAUAUAAAGUAAAUUUGAAUAAAGAAAAUUAAAAUAAUAGCUUCAAGUUUUUAAUAAAACAUAAUCCACGCUUAUCUUAGUUGAUCCAUAAGUUAAUAGUGCAAUUUAAGACCUCCUUGAACUCAAUGAUUUCAUCACAAAUCAUUUUAUCCAGGUGCAUUUCCCAAAUUUGACCAAACGUUGCUAUAUCAUGCCCAAUCAUCAUCGAUCGAGGUAAAGAAUUCUCAAUAAACAUAGUAAACAUGUUCAUAUAUUUACUUGUGUCAUUCUUUCUUAAUUGUGCAACUACCCGUGUAUUCUUUACACCAUGUUGGAUGUUUUUUGCCAUUGGUUUGAUGACCAAUGGCUCUUUUUUUGGCACUCUCUCAUCAUAGAGGAAUUGCACAUCUACUUUAUAAGUUAAUUUGGGAGAUUUUCUUGGCGUAGGCUUUGAAAUAAGUUCAAAGUCUAGCUUCUUUGGAGUUUGUUGAGGAGUUGAUUGAGAAAUUUUGAUAGAAGUGUUCUUUAAAUUCAAUAGGCUCUUCAUAGAUUUUUAAGUUAACGUACCCAAUGGGAACCGGCCUAUGAACCAAUUAAAAUAUACAUGCACACCAUUAGUUUUCUUGGCCUCAUACAUUGAUUUAGGUAUAUUAUUAUUAUUUAGUAAAAUAUUAGUAAGGACUUCUAAUAAAGCAGAAAACCCUUUAUCGGACCACCCAUAGUUUCCUUUCACAUUAUAAAGUCUCAUUAAUCCAAAUAGAUUUGAAUGUUUUGCACUCAGAUACAAAGACUUUUCAGCAUCUUCAAGCAUAUCCUUAAAAUAAUUAGGAUCCUUAUCACAGUGCUCAUAAGCAUCUUCGACCAUGUCAAUUAUGCUACUGUCAUCAUGACAUCUGAAUAUUUGAUUAUGUUGAUAGUCUUGACACUUUGUAGAUAUAGAAACAGAGUCAGUUUCACCAUGCCAAGUCCAAACUCUAUAUUUUGCAAGAAAACUUUUUUGAAAUAAAUGAUCCAUCACCUGUUGAAGAGUAUGAAACUUCAUAUUACAACAAGAGAUGCAAGGACAUCUAAUUGAUAUUCAGUUUUCAACAUUCAAAAUGGUAAAAUUUAAUAAAUCAGUAACUCUGGUACUAUACUCUAAGGACAACCUAUUACAAGUUAUUCAAGUUCUGUCCAUUUCAAAUACUUGUACCUGUUCAUAUAUUAUAUAGUGUCAAUUUAAGUUUA
rnacentral:lncRNA from 1 species